AGAUUCAUUCCUCAUUUCCCCUCUCGAUUCCAAACUUUGCGAAUGACGGAGAAAUUGUCGAUUUUCUCUCAAAUCUCUCUACAUCCCACGAUAUCCUCACACCAUAUCUCAAUUUUCUCUCCUCUAGGUUCAAUUCAUCCAAUAAGUUGGCAGAGGGAAGCUUCCAUCGACGAGGACUUCGAUAAUCUUAGCCCCAAAUUGAGUCGUUAUAGGGUUCUAUCAAACAAUCAUCCAACGAAUUCUUCGAUUACAUAUAAGUGUGAUGGAAGAGAUGAUUUGUUGAUGUGCUGAUUAAUUUGCUGGUGUAGGUCUGGACUUUAAUGGAUACAUUUGCAGUUCUUGUAUCAUUUGAAUAAUUUCUGUUUAAGCGAUUUUAGUUUCAUUUUCUUAGUAUUUGGAUUUGGUUUCAGACUUUUAGUUCUCGUUCAGUUUGAUUACUUCAAAGAUUAAAUGUUGUUAUGGCAUGCUAUAUGUUGCCUACAGAUUGAUAUUAUAAGCCUUACAGACUUUUGGGUUCUAAAUUAUGAAUGAAAUGCAGUUUUCUUUUCAGUUCGGUUGUACUUUGUUGUGUGUUUGUUUACGAGUUUUAGGGAAAUAAAUCCAAACUAAAUUUCGCACCAUACUGGCGGGCCCAUACUGAUGGGAGACGGGCCAUGUUUAAACACGCCAACAGAGGAGAGUGACUGAACGCGCUGGAACUUUCCAAUCCGUGGGCGAGUUUAUCAAAAGUGAUGACAUUACAAAUGGGCUUCUUGAUAAUUAGUUGUUGAGUGGAAUCCAGCUGGCGUAGUUUUAUUGAAUCUUGUUUGUUGUGAAAUACGAUUUCUGCUUACAAAAAUGGAGAACUACUUCCAUUAUUUUCACGGCAGCAAUUAGGUUGGCAAUCCUGUGUAUUUAACCGUUAAAUCGACCGUACCCUCAACGAGUUUGACGUUUAUUAACCACGUUGAUUGGGUAUUUUGCGGUUAUGGUUAUAACCGUUAACCGCUACGAAUGGGUAAGGUUAGGUUAUGGGUUUGAAAAUAACCGAACCAUCACUGUAACCAUACCCAUAACCAUCCCCAACCCGUAACUUACCCUCUAUUUACCCGUAUAUUAUUAAAACAAUAAAGCCCAAUACCAUUUGACUGUCCCAACUCACUUACAUUUUAACCNNNNNNNNNNNNNNNNNNNNNNNNNNNNNNNNNNNNNNNNNNNNNNNNNNNNNNNNNNNNNNNNNNNNNNNNNNNNNNNNNNNNNNNNNNNNNNNNNNNNNNNNNNNNNNNNNNNNNNNNNNNNNNNNNNNNNNNNNNNNNNNNNNNNNNNNNNNNNNNNNNNNNNNNNNNNNNNNNNNNNNNNNNNNNNNNNNNNNNNNNNNNNNNNNNNNNNNNNNNNNNNNNNNNNNNNNNNNNNNNNNNNNNNNNNNNNNNNNNNNNNNNNNNNNNNNNNNNNNNNNNNNCCGCCACGAAAGUGAAUGGGUAAUGGAUAUAACAUAACAAUCCCCGAACCUCCCUGUUGCCAAGCCUAGCCGCGAUGGUUUAGUUUUGUUAAAUGAAUAUUCUUGAUACAUUAAACAAAUACAUUACUUUUAUAAAAACAAAACAAAAAGUGGAAAACAUUGGCACAUUGCAACGAUUUGAUUUUGAAUCGAAGAAUUCCAAAUUCAUAAAAUGUUUGAUUAUUUUAUAUGAUUUUAUAAUUAACGAAAAAAAAAUUAAAUUGAAGUUUUAACCAAUUUACAUCAAAAUGUUCAUUUUAAUUAAUAAGUGCUAGUUAUAUAAAAGUUUUGAACGAAUUGUUUAAGUUAGAUUAUGAAAUCAAAAGUAAAACAUAUAUGAAGUGAAAGUAAAAUGAAUAUGGCUAAAUUUAGCUUUGUAACCAGUGCAGUAUAUUCACUUUUAUAAAACUGAAAAGCCAAAUUUGAGUAUAAAUUUGACUUUGUUAGCUUGUAUCAUAGUGGAUGAUUUUAUGACGAAAAAAAAAUUGAAAGUAUUGUAUAAACAUUUGAUUGAACACUGGGUCUUCUNNNNNNNNNNNNNNNNNNNNNNNNNNNNNNNNNNNNNNNNNNNNNNNNNNNNNNNNACCAUAAGUUAAUUUAAAUUAAGUCUGGAUAAAAUACAAAACAUAUAGAAAUUGUGACUAAAUUUUAGUUCAUUUCAUUUGGCUACAUGUAGCAUACUCAUACGUGAUAUAUUGAUAAUGUAGUAGUGUGGAGAUCCGAUUCCGUGUUGGGAUCCAAUCUACAAAAUUACUUUUCCUUCAGCUGUUUUUCUAUACAGCAGGAAACCAGCCGUUGUGAUUGUGAAAUGGAAUUCUUUUAAGAGAUAAAAUGAGCUAAGUUUUAUUUUAUUGUAUCUGAAUUGUGGUUUUAUAAUACAAUUUGAACGAACGUUGUACAUACUCAUACAAACACUUGUUGUAAAACAAAAGGCUUAUAACUAUCUACAUGUGUUCGGUUAUGUACUUAAUUUUAUGAUAAGAAUUGAAUUAACUCACAUUUUAAUUUAGGUGUUCUUAUUCAUCGAAAUUUAUUUUGAGUAUUCUUAGCUAAGGUUUGUGAAAUAUUAGUAUAAUGUCACUUUCUAUCCAAUUGGAUCUCGUGAUUGUUUGUGACCAAUUUAUAAUCUCUCUCCUUGCCAAUUCCCAAACCCUGCCGGCCUUAAUAGUUAACACUAAACUCUUCUUUUAAAAGGUGACUAAUUCGGGGCGACACAAUCUCCAGAUAUAUAUAAUAAAACCAGGCUGAAACCCAGCCAAGCUACCAUCUUCCCUCCCACCAACUUUCAAUAUUUAUUUACUGUUACAUUCUUUCCUUGCUUGGUAGUAUUGAAAGAAAACAAUGAGGAAGCGCCUCAACAAUGUCAAUAAUACGUUCUCUUUCUCUUUCCGUAUUUGCAGACCCAAAAAACCAGACGCCGUUCCUCCAGCCCCCGCCUAUCGCCUCCGCUCUCCUCCUUCAAACCACAAAAUUAAGCAGCUCCCAGCUCCUCCUCCAACCACUCCCCUCGGUUUCCGCAACGGCGUCGUGGAGAGAGCCAGUCUAUCUGGAGACAUCCUUAUCAAUCUUGACCUCUCCAUGUCGGACUACAGCAGCAGUGACUCCUUUGAAUCCUUGGGCAGGAACGACGCCAAGUGGCAGGCCAGGACCAACAAUUAUCGGAACCGAAUAGACCUAGACAGCUGUGAUUUUGGGCCGGUUCUCCCGGGCCCAACCAUUAAGGCCCAACAAAACAGCGCCGUUGUCACGCCAUGUUCUGACGAGGAGGAGGAGGAAGAGGAGGAGGCCGAGAGCUUGCUUCACUCUUCCAGAAGCUUCUCCUUCGAUUCCUCUUCGUACGACUUCAGCCACGCGGUGGCCACCGAGAGUACUACGACGGCGGCUAGCGAUAGUGAGAGGUCGACUGUGGUGGCGCAGAGACUGAAGGAGAUGAUCAGGCGGAAUGGGUUGGAUUCGAUGAUUAUUGAUAAUCAUCAAUAUCAGAGGAGUACAAUGGGGGAAGCGAUGGCUGUAGUGAAGAAAUCGUCGAAUCCGAAAGAGGAUUUCAAGAGGUCGAUGCUGGAGAUGAUAUCGGAGAAGCAGAUAUAUCAAGGCAAGGAGUUAGAGGAGCUGUUGCAGUGCCUGCUGUCCCUGAAUUCAAUUCAGUAUCAUGAUGAUAUUGUGGAGGCCUUCUCCGAUGUUUGGAAAGUGCUUUUCCUGUGACUCCAUCCUUAUUACUAUUACUUUUUAACUUUGUCCAAACAAUAAAAAACAGAUAAAAAUCAUUCUGCUGCUCGUAUUGGUAACGGUAAUAACUAAACAACUACAACAAAAAAUGUUGCAAUUUAAUUUCUGAACAUUAUUAUUUUAGUUGCAUGUGCUAAAAAGUCUAAAAAUCAACUGAAUUUCUAUUCUUCGUUCUAAUAUUCAAAUAUUUAUUGCGCUAACGGGGCAGUUUUAUUCCAUGGCUUGGAAACCAUGUGUCACACCUUGAUAGAUAGCCGUUUUAUUAAAAUACUCUGACUUCUUACGAUUUAUUAAAUAAUUAAAUUGUCCCGUUUAUAAAAUUUUAAAAUAUAAAAAUANNAGCUCUACUAUGCUCCUGCAUCAACUUACAAAAUACUUUGGUGGGUGAUUUGUGGUCAGUCUCCUGCUCUAAUCAAACUCUAAAUUUCAUUGGAAAUAUUAGAAUAAAGAAACACAUCAAUGUAAUGAAUCAUUAAUAAUUAUCUAAGUAAACAUAUUACAUAAAACAAUCUUUCAUCUUUAUAUAAUCCUAAUAUGAUAUCAGAUGAUAUGCAACAAAUAUCAUAUAACAUUCAUCCUCUAAUAAUUAUCAUCAAGUAAUCAUCUAAUAAUCACCACCAAUAAAUAUUCAUCAUCAAUAAAAAAUCAUCAUCAUCAAGUAAUCAUCAUCUAAUAAUCAUCAUCAAUUAAGUAAUUGUCAUCGAUAAGAAAUCAUCAUCAUCAAGUAGUCAUCAUCUAAUAAUCAUCAUCUAGUAAUCAUCAUCCAUGAAUGAAACUGAAGUCAAAUAAGUUAGGUAUAUUAUGAAAUCCUGAAUAUCAUGGUUCUCGUAACUUAAUAUACCACAAACACCAUUCUUGAGGAAGUCAAUUUACAUGACUCCAAUUCUUGUACUAUCAUUGACCUUAUCUAAGGUAUCUUAUUUCUUGUGAAGCAUCCCCCAACUCAACUAACUAACCCACCAACUUAGCGCUAAAAUUAUAGAGGUAUGGGAGUACGUAUCCAUGAGACGGUAUCAUAAAUCAUAGAGGGCAAACUGUGGCCUGUAAUUCAUGGGGGGGCAAAACUCUGCCCAUACACUACAACAAAACGCGCCCGUUGUGGUGUUUAUCAUAAAGCGAUUAUUUGGGUUAUAACCGCGAGAACGUCUAUUCUCACCAUUAUCAGUAACCGCGGGAAAAUAUACCAUGAUAACGAGCCCGUUUUUGCGGUUAGGUAACCGUGAGAACUGAUAAUACCGUUUUCGCGGUUACGGUUCUCGCGGUUAGGGACCUCAAAACCGAAAGCGAAGUCGUUACUCCAUUUUAUGACGAAUCGUUAACCCAUUCUCACGGUUAUCGCUAUGUCCGUUUUCGCAGUUAUUGUUAUGUCCGUUUUCACAGUUCUGGGUUAUCCGUUCUCUCUGUACUAGGCAGAUUUUUUUUUUUUAAAUUUCCAACCUUGAAUUUGAGUUAACAUUUACAACAUAUGGAGAAGAGAAAAAUAAUAGAAUUUAAUCUUCUUUAUUCGAGUGAUGUAAACAAUGAUGAAAACAUAUGAUUCUAAUUAAUUUUUUGAAGAUCUAGAUAAAAACAAUAUAGAUAUAGAGUCAAACAAAAUAUAUAAAAAAGUAAAGGUUAAUCUAAUUUAUUUUUAUUUUUGUACACUUCUAGAACAACGAAAAAAAAAAUCAAAAGCUAAAAAAUAAAGAUCAUCUUUCUUCUCUUUUUUUUUCUUUUUUUUUUCUUCUCUUUUUGCCCUUUUCUUCAUCUUCUUCUUUAUCUCAUUUUUUCAUUCUUCUUCAUCUUUUUCUUUUCUCUAAAAAAACAUCUUCAUCUUCAAAUUUUCUUUUUUUUUAAACAACUAUCAUCAUCUUCUCUUUUUUAUGAGUUGUGAAAAAAUUAAUUAUUGAAAUUUUUUUAUGGAUAAAAGAAAGUUUUGGAGAGUUAGAAAAUUUGAGAAGAAGAAGAAAAAAAGAAUAGAAAGUUUAUAUAGAUUUCAAUCAACGGUUGUGAUUAAAUGAGACGACAAUCUAUAUCUUCACUAUGAGCUAAUGAAAAGUAGACAUUUAUUAAUUUACAUCCCGUUUUCGUAGUUCUAUUUUCGCGAUUAUGAAUUGCUAGAACGGAUGACGGAAAUAUUUGAUAGAACAAGUUCCUCACGGUUCCUAUAACCACAAGAACGGACUUGGAAAUCAGAAUCCAUUGUGGCAGUUGUACAAACCCCACAACGGUUGCGUCUUGUUGUAGUGAUAAAUCAUAGUGGGCAAAACUGUGGUCUGAAUCAUAUGGGGCGGUGGUCUAACUAGUGAGUUUCAUGUUUUAAAUCCACUUAUUAGGCAUCUAGGUGAGGUGUUCUUGUUUCUUAUUACUGGUCAUGUCUAAUCUUAUCAUCAUCUAACAUUAAUGUUAGUCUAACCUUAUAGUUGUAUAAGAGGAAUAACUUGCACAACAUCAAAAUUAACAUGUCACAAAUAAACACUCAAUCAUGAAAUUAUGACAUAACUUAAAUGCAUCAAAUUAAUUAAAACCUAACCUAACCUACUGCAAUGAUAACAAUUUAUCCCCUUAAACCAACCCACCUUAUUGGCGAGCCGAUAUCUCAGAAAUAUGUCAGAGAUUAUUUCCUUUUCUACCAAGAAACUACGGCCUCAGACGGUGCGUCGUUUGGAGCUCAAACGGUCAUGUUAUGCUCCAAUUACUUCAUUGUAACUUGCUGGAACUUGGAGGGGCUAUUCUGUCAUUUCGGUGCCCAACUGGACAAAUGACCAGUACAGUCCUCAGACUUCUGAUCCUAGCAGGUUCCAUGCCUAACAAACAGAGAACUACAAUCCAGUCAUCCUAAUUUCCAGGAAGAACAGUUCAAUCAAACACCUCCAACUUUACGGAUAUUUCAAAUUGGUCACUUAUCUCUUCGAAACUGCCAAGUGGUCAUCUUCUUCAACCUUUGACUCCGGCGAACACUGGCGCCGCCGGAGAGCCCGUCUCCAGAAUUUGGCGAGGCUCUGGCGAGCUCCAAACUUCUUGGAAACAUGAUUUCUUGACGCCGAUCGAGCACCCAGCGGCCCGUCUUACUCCAGCGAGAUUCUCCCUCGUCGGACAUGCCCGUAUGCACCUCCAACGAGCUCUAAAUUUCGAUAACCAAGGUACAGCCGCCGACCAUUGGCUCUUGGGUUCAGUAUUUCCCCUCAUUAGGAUAACAAAACUCUCUCCCUUCUCACUUCCUCGCUCUCAGCCCACGACCAUUGGCUCUAACCGUUAAACCGACCGUACCCUCACCGAAUUCGAUGGUUAUUAACCGCGUUGACUAGGUAUUUUGCGGUUAUGGUUAUAACCGUUAACCGCUACGAAUGGGUAAGGUUAGGUUAUGGGUUUCGAAGUAACCGCACCAUCACCGUAACCAUACCCAUAACCAUCCCCAACCCGUAACUUACCCUCUAUUUACCCAUAUAUUAUUAAAGCAAUAAAGCCCAAUACCAUUUGACUGUCUCAACGCACUUACAUUUUAACCCUAUGUCCCAACGCAAUACUUUUGCUUUUAAUUUCAAGAAACCUUAUCUCUUAACUCUGUCAGAAUCGCAAAACAUAAAUUCGUCCAUCGACCAUCAUACAUAAAAAAAAUCAUUAAUCCGAUUCAGACUAGUUAUAUAUGAAGAGGGAACGAUUGUACUAUUUCAAUUAUCAGUUUCAUUUUGUUUGGUAUUUCAGUACUUGAAACUUUGAGAUUCAUGUUUUAUAGUAUUGUUUAAAUGUUUCGAUCCUUCCCCCUUGCUAGUUUUGGGUUGUAUUUUGAUUUCAAGAACAAGUCACAAGUACUUUUAGCGUUCUAGAAUGCUAUUGUUAUUAAAUAUUGGAAUUAGAUUUGGAAAUUUUUUAGAUGAAUGAAUGUGUAUGCAUUUUCGACUUUUCAUUCCUUUUUUUUCUUGCAUAUCGGUGGUUAACCGUUAGGAAGAGCGGUUAUAACCGUAACCGGGUGGGUAUAGGGAUGGAAUGAAAUCUAUCACCGAAAUAAAAAUGAUGAUAAUUAUGGUUAAUAAUGGAUAAUGGAUAUGUAAUAAUCAUCCCCGAACAUCCCGUUGCCAAGCCUACUCAUUUGGAUAAAAAAAGGCAGCUCUAAAAAUCCUCCCUUGGUACGGCGCUCAAAAGAAAUCGAAGAAGAAGAUAAUAAGAGCUGCUGCUAGGUGUUUGCUAUGUGCUAAGUUAAGGUUCAAAUUUCAAACUUGGGCUCCUCACACUUUAGUCGUAACGGCCCAACUCAUCCAUCGGAUCCAUCCAACGGUCCACAUUUGAGUUUGGCUUCAGGCCCAUCCCGACACUUAAUCUAACGACUCAGAUCUCUCCUAACUCCUUCAUUGAACAGAUCAAGCAUCCAUCUCCGGCUGUUGGAUUCAUCCAACAAUUUACAUUCCUCCACGACUACCCCUAAUCCAAUAAAAACUUCACUCCAUCUCCGAUUAUCUAGCAACCACAUACUCAACCGAACCUCAAUGAACUUUACUAAUUCUUAAAUUCAGUCGGCCAACAAGUCAACCUCUUAAAAUAAAUAAAUAAUUAAGCAUCAAACCUCUGCUUCCACCAUUCGAGCUAAAUAAAGUUUAAAUAUUUAAUUCACCUGAAAGUUAAUUUCUUCACAUCUUUAAUUGGCUAUUAGACUUGUAAUUAUCACAACAUUAGUCAUAACAUAUGAAAUUAAGCAAUUCACUUAUUAAUAACGACUAACAUAUUAAACGCAACAUAAUUUAUAAUAUAAUACCGAGUCAAAUAAGUUAUCAAUCAGACAACAUUAAUACAUAACUUAGAUGCAACAAAACACAUAGCAAGAAUAAAUACAUUUAACGAUACUAAUAUUUCCUUAACAUGCUUUUCAUAUUAGACAUUCUAAAGGGUAGUUUAGUAAUUCAAUAAAUAUAAUUUUGAUUGUUUGCAGGAUGUAAUAUUUAUCUACUUUAAAUAUGCGCAUGAAUAGAAAAGGGUCAAUUGGGAGAACAUUUAUUAUUUAUUUAGGGUUUUUUUCAUGUAAACAUUAACUUAAGGUCACCAUUAUUUAAUGGUACAACCCAUGCCAUUGUACUUUUUAUAUAAUGGUUUAUGAAGCCAUUCAAAAAUAAAGUAGGGCUGGAAGUUUAACAGGCAUGAUCAAAUUUUAAAUCAAAAUCACCGGGAGAUCAUAUAUGUUCAAUCAAAAUUUUCAAUGCUAUGGUUGAUGUAUUUAUUCUCUAAUCAUUCUUGCUCAUUAAUCAUUCUACUAAUUAGUGUCACAAUAUUUUAUGAAUUCUUUUUAUAAACCGGUAAACCUGAAACCAAUAGAUGGGAUAUAGUUUCAAUAUAAUGCCUGUUUGUACAAACGGGUGAGUAUGUGUUAAAUCCGUAUCAUAUUCAUCCGGGCACCCAUAAUCCGUUGUCUUUAACAGAAUGUUGCACCACCCUCAAUUGAAGCCAAAGAGAAGCUGAAAAGUAGGACAAAAUCCAUGAUGAUGGCUCCACCGGCAACACAUCGCAUGUCCUAGUUAGUAAGUCGAGCAAUGACCAACUUUGCAUCAUCUUCCAUGUAUAUGUGUCAGAAAUAUUCAUAGGAGAAAUGAUCAAUUUUCAAAUCUUACUCCUAUUGCAAGGCUCUAUAACGUUCACCAUUUGUGGUUAAUAUUUGCUUCCAAAAAAGACAAUAUGGUUGACAUCUGAUUAACUAGCUGUUUCAGCCUGGAAUGGUAAAAUGCCUUAAUUUGAAACUAUCUCAAACAAUAGCUAGGGGUAAUACAGUCGUCAGAAAUAUUCACAUACACAAAUUAUCUAUUUUCACAGCCUACUCCUAUUGCGAGGCUCUAAAGUGUCCAUUAUUUAUAAUAAUUCAUCGCAUAAUCAACUUCCUCGCAAAAGAAUUCACACUAGAUCCAGUGUCAUACCUAAAAAUAUCUUGUCAUCAUUCGUUUCUCCAUUUUUAGAGCGUUGUCAAUGAGAUUUUGAAAUGUGAUAUGACUUGGUCAAAUCCUCUGUCUUCUCUCUAGGUACAAAAACCUCCCUAUUUUACAAUCGUUGUGGUUGCCGGUGGCAGCCCUCUUUUCUGUUGUUUGUCAUUUCCUUUCGCUUAUUAUCUAUUUCAUGCGUUAUGACUUUUUUUUGUCUCGGAGCUUUCUCCUCCCUAUGAGUAAUUUGAUUUCGAAGGUUUGAGGUCAAAUCUAACCCAUGUGGUUGCAUGGUUGGUUUCUUAUUUGAUGAUUCAAAUUUGAUGUCUUUCUCCAAGAUUCAAAGGGUGCUGUUGCACGACCAACUCAGCAGCUGUAAAUAUGGGCAAAUUUCUUUUUGCCAUCGUGCCAAGUAGAACAAAUGUUCCAUCCGCAAUUGAAUCCAACACAAUGAGCUUCAAUCAGUGUUUAAGAAAUUUGGGGCAAAAAGUUAAGGCAGAUGAUAAGGAAAGACAUAAAUAAAAUACUCUAAUGCAAACUAGUCUGAUAUCCGGCCGCUUGGUCGGUCUUCUUUAUAUUUUUUCUUGCGAGUCAGGGUUUCAUUUUUUUACUAUGAUCAUUCAAAAACCUGAAAUACUGCUAAUAAUAAUAACCAAACCUGAAUAACACUAAUAUGAAAUACCUUUACAUUAGAGAAUAUAAAGAAAGACUAACAUAAAUGUGAAAUAGCUAAAUGAGAUUGUGCAUACUCGCUUUGCAUAUCUGCUUGCAAUCUAGUAAUAGUCUGCUGCGUAAGAGAAUAUGAAAACACUACUCUAAGUGAUUACUAAUGAAAGUUGAUGUGAUUAUGCACAUCUUCCAUAGUUCAUAAUAUAUAAAUUAAUUACUAAGUAUCAAUCUUCAGUAGAAUCUAUCAGCUUCCUUCUUUUGAUGAUCCUCUUUUUUGUUGUUGCUAGUGGCAUGUCAUCUGUAAUGUCAUCUUCAAGCUCAUCAUCUAGUUUAAUUGGAAUUCCAAUUAUACCUUUUCCAGCAUAACUGUUUGCAAGCAGAUCCGCAGAGGUUGGAGAGUCAUUGUUUGUGGAUGUUGUUUUGGUUUCAACACUUGUAAUGAUGCUGCCAAGUGACUGAGAAGACAUGUGCCCACUUGAAAGAAUAGGAUCCGUUUCCUACAAUAAUAGAAGAAUGAAUUAGAGCAAUUAUAAUGUGAAAAUUUUUAAUCGAAUGUGAACUGGUAUCAUAAAGGUAGUUAGUACAAACCUGUUUUGUUGGAGAUGGAGGUGUAAGUUGCUCAUCGAGAAUCCUAGACACCGUAUAUUCUGUUUGUGGGUAUGCUGAAAUGUAUGAUGGUAGUUUGAUUUGAAAAUUGAGUUCCCUAUCAGCUAACAGUUGCAUCAUGAGUUCAGGGGUGGUGUUGUGACUCUUUCCAUUUUGCUCAUAUAAUUGGCUUGCUGAAAGUUUGAAAAUCUUGUUGCCUUCAUAGUUAAAGAUGACAAACUUUGUUUCUGAUGUAGCAUCUUGGACGUAUACUUUCACAAGAAAUCUGUAAUUGAGUGGAUCAACCAUUAGAUAUAUUAUAAGCAUUACUUCAUAUGAGAAACAAAAGAUAAGCAGGUUAGAAACUGAUUACUUUUUUGCUGUUGUAUUGAAUGUCUUCUUACAUCGGCCACAAUAGUAAUCUUUCUGACCUUCUUCUACUUUCAAUGGACAGUUUGAGCACCCAUUAUAACACCACACGCUUUCUAUAUCCUUCACUCUGCACCUUACUGUACAAUAUUUGUUCUGUAACAAUAAAACGUUAUCAAUAAUAGUUGACAGAAAGAAAGGAUUGUGUGAAAGCUUUAACUUUUCUCAGAUGAUACCUUCAUUUGUUCUUCAUUGGUCAGACCACAUAGCUCUACAAUAGAUGAUGUAGGAGUUUCUUUACAUUGUUAGAAUCUAUAAAAAUUGGUGGAGGAAGUGCAUAUAUGUUGUUUCUCGUUUGGUCUCUGUAGAAGUAUAUAAGAUGGUAGUAUUAAUAAUGUUAUUCUGCAGCCGGUUAUGUGAAUGUAAAAGUUACUACAAUAUAACAUAAUACAUACCCUGGCAUGAAGUUCAAAACCUCUGGUGUAUCAAGAUUAAAGUAAAGCCUGGUAAUCGUGGAAGAAGAGAGUAUUUUUGCUGAAAAAUUAGAUUGUAGUAGUUAAACUUUAUUUUAUAUCCAUGGCAGCAAAUUUUUCUUGAAAUUAUAAAGAUAUAGUGGCCUCACCUCCAAAACCAUAGACAUACGUCGAUGUUACUAUCAAGAGGAUACCUUUAUCCCCAUGGGCGCUGAUGAGUUCAUCAAACUGUGUGGCUGCCCUAGACCAUAAUCUAACGUUAACUAUGGUUCCCCUAUCAUUUACACAUAAAAACUGAGGGUGAAAAAAGGAACAAACAAUUGAUACAAAAGAAUUAACUAAUUUAGUCCAAUACUCACUCUUUCAGUUUGAUUUCAAUGUCCUUCCGUGGAUUUCCAGAACUCUUAUCCGUCUCAGAAUACUUGAUGAGGUGGCCAAUCACAUCUGAUAAAAGUUUAAACAGAAAUUGAUUAGGAAGAAAGAGUCAUAAGCUGAGUCUGGAAAAGUGUUCAUCACCUGAUAGUAUCUCUCUUUCAUUCCAUAUCAGGUCAAUCUCAGUCAGAUUAAUGAAGGAAAACUUGUAUCAUGGGAUUUCAGAGACUUGGUCUGAAGCUUCAACUAAGGUGGAGGGUGUAAACUGUAUUAUAUACUUGAAUGCCACAGGUCUAUAUCCUCCUUUUGGUACCGUGAUCUUGAAGUUUUUGAAAAUGUAGACCUUUUGUUCUUCAAGUGUCUCAUCAAACCGUUGAAUCAAAUAAGCUGGAAUCUGCGUCCAAAUGUCAUUCCCCUGAAAUGUAGUUUGUGAUAAUAUCAGCUUACGUGGUUUGUGAGAAUAUAAGCUUACAUGAAUGUAUUAGAGCAAUAAUACAAAAACUUAAUAUUGCUAAACUUGUUUACCUUGGAAUCUAUUAAGAUCAUUUCCUUGCGCAUCACAGCAGUUGAAUUCACCUUGAUUGCCAGCCACAUUCUUGAGACUCGAGCUUUCAGAAUCCAUUUGGUUGGCACUUCAGAGAACUGGUCGACAGAGUGAAAUUCCAUAUUUUCAAGAUUUCUGAAAUUUGAGUUGUAGGAAUAUCUUUACAGCAUAUGACAGUGUAUAUAUAAGCAACAUCAUGCAUAGGUUUAAAUAUAACAGUUGGAAUGAGCGGUUUUUAACAAAGUGGGAGUGAAAUGUGGAGGUCAUGUUGAAAGGGUGGAGAAAUUCGUGCAAAUGGAAGUGAUGGGGUGUGGCAGUUGAUUAAGAGAAGAAAAUACAUAUGUACCAUCUAUGUAUGAACUUAAAUCAGUGGUUAAUUCUUUCGUGGUAGGUGGAGAUGGAUUGAUUGUCAUUAUAAUGUGAAUAAAUAUGUGCUAAGAUGGAUUGAUUGUCAUUAUAUUAUAUGUAUAUAAUGUGAAUAAAUAUGUGCUUCGAAAACCAGUUGUUAUUACGAAAGAAGUAUGGUUUCUGAUUAAAUACAGUAUUAAAUAAAACCUAAUUUUUUAUUAUGGGCAGAUUUCUGGGCAGGUUUUUGGGUAGGUUUCUGGUCAAAUUUCUGGGCAGGUAUCUGGUCAGGUUUUUUUUACUGUCCAAGUUUGCUUCAUAUAUUCUGUUUUAGUUGACUAUUUUUCUGUUUCUUGCGAACGAUGUUUUGGCCUCAAUAUCUUAUGUUCUGGCCAGCCCGAGUCCAUUUUCCUUUCCAGGACAUGUAAUAUUGCUGGUUAGAUAUAUGAGAUGAGAACCAAUUAAGAGACACGUGGUUAGAUGAGAUUUACAUUAUCUAGCAAAUGAGAACAAACUAACAUUAUCUCAUAGCAGAGGACUUCGUAUGCAUGAGAAAGCAAAUUAGACAAUGUCAGACAGCUAAGUUAAUAGAUCACAACCUACCUGAACUAAUCAUCAAAAGAUGAAGCAAAACUCAUUUUUAGUCACUAAUGUAAUACAACAUACUUUGGAUAGAGUAUAAUGUAAUGAAAUGCAAACCAUUAACAAAUAGUACAGCUAAAUGAAUCUGAAUUUAGGAUUUCUAAAACAUAGAUUUGAUAAACUCUCGACUGGGUCAUAAUCAUUCUCAAAUUUCCUCCUUUGGAAGAAUAACUUGACUCACAAACUUUGUGUUCAUCUCGAGAUCCUAAGUGAACAGAAGAGUCAAAGAGAAACAUACUCUUCCAUAUAGAUUUCGUAUCUACAAACAAAUACGUAAUAGCAAAAUCAGAUACUUUCACAUUAGAGAUCCCAUAUCAUACCUUAAAGGGCGUUGUGAUAAAAGCAACCAUUUUUAUCAAAUGGUUUGUGCAGUUGGUUCGUAAUACUAAUUUCUUGGUAAUUAUUUGUUUAAAUACAUAAUACUAAUUUUAUGCUACACCGACCCUCCUAUCUAAGUCAUGAUUAUUUACGGUCAGGCAUUUGAAAGGUACUUUGAGGAUACAAAUUACAUGAAAAUUAAGUUCUAUAUUACCUCAUUGCAAGUCCAAUCCAGCAUUCCAUAAUUUGCAGGUGUAGAAGAGAAGAACAUGGAAAUCACAUUCAGAACUUUCAAUCGCGGGGAAAGCAAAGGUCCCGUGUAUCUUGUUGUUAGCGUGUGUUGCAAUCGAGACAUCAAGGGAGACAUGGCGGGGUGUUGUGCUGAUUCACAACAUUUCAUAGUGGAACAGUGAGUUAACCACGAUGAAGCAAAUAAGUUAUGAAUCAUUUUUUUAUAGAUAGAGUAGUAAAGACUAAACUAUUUUACCUUCAGUAGUGAUGAUCUUUAGUUUAAUAUCUCCCGAAAGACUAUAUUUCUCAUGGUCCGUUUCUCACUCCCGGCUUCGUCACAACUUAUGAUUUGCAGGCCUGCCUUUGUAGUCACCCUUGAGAGUGCCACAUAUAAUUGUCCAUGAGUGAAUACUUGCCUUGUAAGACAUAUUCCAACUUUUUUCAAAGUUUGGCCUUGACUUUUGUUGAUUGUCAUUGCAAAACAUAAUGCAAUAGGGUAUUGCCUCCGAAGAAGAGUGAAGUUCAAACUUUUUUGCUCUGAUGACAUUGUAAGUCUAGGAAGGAAAACUCUAUUCCCGACAUUGGUUCCUGUUACUAUUUCAACAUCAAUUGACCACGUGCCCAAGUUUCUAAUGAGUAAUCGAGUACCAUUACAAAGGCCUGCUGCUUGAUCAAUAUUUCGCAACAAUAUGACUGGCAUGCCAAUUUUAAGCUUUAAUGCAUGAUCUGGGAAGUUCCCAUUUUUCAAGUUGUUUAAAAACUCAGGUGGGAAUUCAGCUUCACUAUCUGACUGAUUAAUUGCAUCGAAUUGAACUGAGUCUGAGCUGUAGUAGCAUACCUCUCCUCCGGGGAAUAGCUCCGGCAUAUAAUCAUUAAUCAGCGAUACGUUGUCAUGAAGAGGUGCUAAAACUUCACGGUCUGCAAAAUAAUUUGGAUCCCCAUAAUGCUAGACAAUAUUAUCAUAUGUUGAGUUUGCAAUAGCAGCAAUUGGAUCGGAUCCUAUGUCGGCCUUUAGUUCUUCAGUCCCACCAAAGCCGUCUACAAAGAAUAAUUGACCCAGAUCUCCAUAUACUGAAGAUACAAUUUGAUCAAAAGCCUGCUUUUGUUCUGUAUUCAGUUUUGGAACCUGAAUAUCAAACUGAGCACCCAAUGCCACAUGAUCAUAAUUUAAUUCUUCAGCAAGUAGAGCGUUGGAUGUAGUGAAUAAUGUAUCAACAUCUACCGUUGGCAAACCUGGAAAGUCAGCUAAUGUUUUGUCGAAUCUUUGGAGAAUUUCAGCAAUCUCACCUAAACAAACAUUAUGUAGUUCUUCUGGAGUUAGCUGCAGUUGAGGCAUCUUUAAUUGAGGCAUCUUUAGUUGUGUACGCCUGAGAUAUAAGAUAUCAUCAGACAUUACUUCCCAAUUUCUCAGUGAAAAUGAUCUGACAUCUGUUACUUGACAAUACAUAAUCAUAGUAACAAAAAAGGUGCGUAGGUGGCGUGCAGAAGUUGUAAGAGCAACUUCUCGAAGGCAUUGAUGCCAUUCACCAUCAUCUGCUAAAAAACCAUAAGCUGCACAUGCAUUUUUGAAGGAUUCAUGCACGAAACCAUUUACCGUUUUGAUGUCUUCAAAACUCCUGCAACCUUUAACAACAUGAAGUAACAUUCUCAAAUAGAAUCUCUCCUCUGCAGCUGGUGGACAAUAAUAUAAGCGGCCGAUUUGAAUUUUCCUUUUCCGCAAAUGCCAUUUUUUGUUCUGUUUCGCAAUAAUAUAAGCGACCAAUUUGAAUUUUCAUUUUCCGCAAAUGCCAUUUUUUGUUCUGUUUCUCCCAAACAUAAUGUUGAGGGAACUCAAUGAAGGUAAACUGUCUAGCAUGAAUUUAUUCCCGGUUUAUUUUCAUCCACUCUAACAGCAUCGACGUUUGAGCUCGUCGUGAUAGAACUAAUUCUUCCAUUAAAGAAUCGUCAUUGGAAAUUAUAGGCUGCUCUUCAGGCAAAUGACAUGACAUGCGAAGGACUGCUGGAGAAUUACUAUAAAGAUCAAACUUGAAUAUCCUCCAGCAUGCUUCGCCUGGUGUUAUAUAUCGACAAUCCAAAAAUGCCUUAAUUUCAUCAAUGUUAGCUGGAGUUUUAGAGGUUGGCCCUGCAAAGCUAGUGGAAUUUGAAGGAUUAUUCCCAAUGAUUAUGGCCUUAGCACGAUCAGGAGGUUUAUUGAUAUACUUGAAUAAAUAUUUUAUUGCCCUGCAAGAAUAGGUAAGAUGUACACAUUAGAAGAAGUAUAUAAACGCAUAUUUCUGCUCGUCACUUGAACUAAUUUAAUUAUUGGCGUGAGUAUCAAGAUUCAACUCAAAUUAACCGGAGUUCUCCUUAUUAUCGAUUUCGUGAAGUAUAUUAAUCACCACGCAUAAGUAUAGUUGUUCAAUCUUCAAUUUAGGUUUACAGGCAGGUUGUUUGGCUGUUCAGUGAAAUUUAUUGUAAUUGAUAAGGCAAGGUCCAAACUUGAUAAAAAGAAAUAAGGUAAUUACAUUAAACUAUUGGAUAGAGCGGUCCAGAAACAUUACCAAUAGGUGGAAAAACCAUGUAAUUUAUCAAUUGUAGUAAAUGAUCUAUGCAAGAUGAAACUGAUCCAGACCCUAAUCUGAAGGAACAAAAUUCUUGGCUUUCAUUAUGAUUUUAAAUAUAAUAAUUCUUUCAUAUGAACUUGUCUCAAAGGCUUGAUUUAGGGAUAGUGGACCUAAUAAUGGUUUUAAGUGAGACUUAGACUAAACUUGUGAUUAAGAGCAACCUUGGUUAUAAGACCAACUUAGUCUAUCACUAAUUUUUGCUCACAGACAUGCAUUCAUUUAGAGUUUGAAAAGAGUUAUUUUCAUGUAAGAUGAAACUUAGACUUAGGUCACUACACACAAUUCACAGAAUCCAAGAAAAAUCUGGUUAAAAGAAUACAUUGAAAUUGAUACUAACCUUGACUUGUUGCAGAAUUCAACAUUGAUAUGUGCAUCAAAAAAAUUCAACAUUGAUAUGUUCAUCAAAACGCAGUAAUAGAUAUCGAUUGUAGGGAACCACAAAGCGAUUAUCCAGUUUAACAUUGUCCUUUGCAAUCCACCUACCAUUUGACGUCAUUUGUAUCGUGGAAAUCCAUCACCAUCUACACACGUCUCGGGGCAAAACUUUUUUGGGAAAUGCUUAGUACAUUUACCAUCUACAGUGCAUGGGGAUUUAGGACAUGCUGCACCGCAAGGACCAUGAAACAUGAACUUUUCAACUGCCUGAUAGCACAAAGGGUCAAGAAGAGGAUCAGGUAUCUCUGCUGAAAUAACUGCAUCAAUAGAUUGAGCAUCAUGGAUUUUGUCUUCUGUGGAUAAAAAUAUUAACAUAUGAGCAUGAGGAAGGCCACGCUUUUGACGGACGAUUAUGGAUAGUUGAGCUGCUAUAUAUUUGUAAUAAAUCCAUUCCCGGUUACUCAAAAGAUAAUUUAUAAGCACCUAAACCGAACCAUAUGUAAUAUACCAAAGAUGUUAAUCAUGUACGUUGACUUCUAAAGAUAAACAUACAGUUAGAGUUGAAGAGAAAAUCCAUGUAGUUCAUAUCUAUUUCACAGAGACACAAAGUAAUAAAAGCAACGUCUAAUAAUAGGUCAAUGAUCAUAUGCAUAGUUUUUGAACUACUGUUGUACUUACAUGGGAUGAAGUAGAAUAUAUUGUCCAGGAAGAGAAACAAAUUAUAAUGACAAACAUAAAUAAUAUAAGUGCAUACUUACAUGCAGCAGUUUUUCCAAAAAUCAAUUGAUUUUUUAUCUCAUAAAUCAAUUGAUUGAGCUUGGUCUUGAAAACUCGAGCAAUAACAUCGGCCCUAUUAGGAUCUUUUCUCUCUGUAUCUCUAAUCAAAUUGACCAUGAGUUGAAUUUCCGGCCAACUGCUUCUAGAGAUAAACGUACAGUUAGAGUUGAAGAGAAAAUCCAUGUAGUUCAUAUCUAUUUCACAGAGACACAAAGUAAUAAAAGCAACGUCUAAUAAUAGGUCAAUGAUCAUAUGCAUAGUUUUUGAACUACUGUUGUACUUACAUGGGAUGAAGUAGAAAAUUUAUAAGCACCUAAACCGAACCAUAUGUAAUAUAUAAAAAAUGUUAAUCAUUUAGGUUGACUUCUAGAGAUAAACAUAUAGUUAGGGUUGAAGAGAAAAUCCAUGUAGUUCAUAUCUAAUUCAUAGAGACACAAAGUAAUAAAUUAUAUAAGUGCAUACUUACAUGCAGGAAGAGAAACAAAUUAUAAUGACAAACAUAAAUAAUAUAAGUGCAUGCUUACAUGCAGCAGUUUUUCCAAAAAUCAAUUGAUGUUUUAUCUCAUAAAUCAAUUGAUUGGGCUUGUUCUUGAAAACUCGAGCAAUAUCAUCGGCCCUAUUAGGAUCUUUUCUCUCUGUAUCUCUAAUCAAAUUGACCAUGAGUUGAAUUUCCGGCCAACUGGAAUUGCAGGUGAAAGUAAUAAAUAAAUCUGGAUAUCCAACCCAACGACAAAUUGCCAUGGCAUCUUGAAAAUUUUCAUAUUUACAUCGAGGACGGCCGUGGUGAGAUGCGGCUAAAAUCGUGCGUUUCCUCGUUUGGUCCAAAUCUGUAUCACCUCGCAUGUAUGCAUCGACCAAUCCACGAUAGCAAUGAGAACGUAACUUGGUUUGAUUAUUCUUAACCCACUCCAAUCUUUCAGCCUCGAUAAAAGCAUAUGCAUUCACCACAUACUGUUGAAGCAGCCGUCCAGACAAUAAUAAAUGUGAUGACUCCUCAGUUCUUGUUUGCAGUCUGUAAGCAUAAAAGUCACAUUGUGAUACAGUCGUCACUGUUUCUGUAGGUUCUUGUACGGGGAUGUUUUCAUGCCAUCCAUCCUCACCAUAAGGAAACAACAAAGGAUAUUGUAAUGCCAUAAUGCUGGGAUGUUUGAAAUGCAUUCUCUGGAGUUCUGAACUUUGAUGUUCGACAACUAUGUCAGGUUGAUAUGAAGCACCUCCAGUUUCAUCAACUAUUAAUGCUGCUAAUUCAUCAACAGUGGGUAAAUCAUAUUCUCUACCACGAUCGCUUCUCUCUACAAGUAGCUUCAAUCUGACAGUAUGCACAUCUCCAGCAUUCAUUCUAUUGCGAGCAUACCUGAAAGCCUUAACCAAGACAUUAUGCUCAUCUAGCAUGUUACUGAAUCCUUGAAGUAUGGACUGUCAAAGAGGAUUUGUAUUUGCAUUAGCGUUGAAGGAGUUUAACCGAUGCACAAUCUCAUUCUCACUAUCAUGAAUAUAUAUCUGGAGGAACAUUGGAGGUUGACCUUCUGGAGGGAUUAGUGAGCCAAUACGAUGAAAAAUUUGGCCGCCAAUUGAAUAAAUAUAAGCACCUCCUCCGCCAUUGAGUCUGUGAUCAACCUUUCCCCCCAUUGAUGUGAAACAGAAGACUCCGUUAAAGCCCUAAUGUAUUUGUGAAAGUGAUGAGUGUGCUGACCAAUGGAUUGCAGUAAGUCCUUCAAAUAUUUUGGAGGUUCCCUUACUUGAGCCAUUUUAACGUUGCCUUUAUUGUAACAGAGUUGAAAUGUAGGCAGUGAAACUCUCCGUGUAGCCCAUGUACUUUCCGGCUGCCACAUAAUAGCAGCACAAUACUGACAAACACAUGAGGGAGGUCCCAAAUUGAAAUAUUCCACCAUAGGUAAGGCUGUUGACAAUGGAAUUGGGAUUGGUUUUAACAUAUAGUUCUUAUAAGAUUUAUAAGAAAAAUGACUUCGACUGUUUGAAUACCUCGUCUCUGUAUUUGUAUCUCGCGGUCCUGUAACUUAAUCUUACGUAAGAUCCGAUACCGUUUUAGUCGAAGUCGACCAAGUAUCCAUUCCAAUCCUGCAAUGAAAUGGAUAAAAAUACCCAGUUAGCUUGUAUGUUACAAAGACUUGGCCAAAGUAACGGGCAAAUGUAUAUCACUUGCAUUAGCGUAAGGAUGAACAUGGUUUCCUCGAGAAUGUGCUAAUCUUAAUCGCCUUUUUCUUCUGAACACCGCAUAUAUUCUCGUAAUUGUGUUGAUUAGCAUAUUUCUAAUUUGUUCGAAACCUGUUCGAAAAAUGCAAUCAUAUGAAUAGGAUAUUGCAAAUAGUUAUGAAAAGGGUGAAAGAAGCAAUAACUUACAUUCAUACGAUGUUCUGUUGCUUUUCCUUGUUCUUUGUGGUCGGUAAAUUGCUAUGUUAAUGCCUAUUUGAAAGCGAUGCAUCAAUAACUAACAAAGUAAGUAUGAGUGAAAGAGAUGUAUGAAUUUCUGCUAACAGGUUAUAAACGUAAAUGAAUUUCUGGGAACAAGUUAUGAGUGUAGUUUCACCUCGUCCAUUAGUAGAAUUUUUGUUUCCUGUGGAAGACAUGUUUUGUAGGUUUUGGCGGGUACAAUUGGGUGAAACAGUGAGAGAUUUUGGUCCGAAAGGAUCCGAUCCCAACUUCCGUCAACUACAACUGUUCAAUUAAUCAAAUUGAAGUAAAAAAUUGAUUCCCGUCAGAAGAUGCUUCGAGAAACUCCAGUUCUGUAUUACCAUGAGAUGAUUCCAAGAUUUGAGAAAUUUAUUCCUUGAGGAUGCAUCUGAAAUUGAGUUCCUUAUUGAGAAAUGGUUUAAGUAUAGUGAGAAGAUUCCAGUUAAGAUGGGAUAGAUACUUGUGAUAGAUUGUCAUCCGCCCACUGUGGGACAAUAUUUGCUAGAAGAUUGACAUACUGCUUCAUGGCCACCUCCGGAUCCAUAUUUCCAAGCUUCUGCCACGCAUUCCUUGCAUAGUGGUAAUCUAACUAUUGAAGACAGAAUGUCACUAUGUCAGAAGAUUGUACCAUGAUCCUUAUUAAACAAAUUGAAGGCCACUGCAAUCAAAUCCCAGUUCUGUGAAAUCGAUUCCCAUAUGUAUACAUGGCUUUUUUUUGUCCAAAGUGAACAAAUGGGAUUUCCUUCGACGUUAGUUCAGAGUAGAAGAACGGUCUCCCGGCGGCGUUGAUGAAGAUUGAAAGGAGUCUUUCCCGUCAGCGUUGGGUCAUAAUGGAAAAAGGGUUUCCGUCAAAAAAUUGAUUCCCCGCUGCAAUCAAAUCUAAGAUUCCGGGAAUCAAUUCUCGUCGGUAUAAAAAUGCCUUCUUUUUUCCAAUGUGAACUAUGAAGAUGGGAUUUUGGUCGGCGUUGGUGAAGAGUGGAAGAACAGUCUCCCGAUGACGUUGGUGAAGAAUGGAAGGGGGCUUUUCCGUCGGCGUUGGCUUACAACGGAAGAAGUGUUUCCGUGGGCAAUGAUGCAGAGUUCAAAGGCUAUAACAUUAAUUAAAGAUUUGAUUAUUAAUAUUUGAUUAAUUAAAUAUUCAGCAAGUUGGUUGAAUCCCUUCAAAUCUGGAUUGAAGUCUAAAUUGACAGUUAUGCUGAUGUGUCAAUCCCAAAAAUCUGAAAAUACAUUAUAUGUAUAAUAGAUGUGGUAACCUGCAAAGCGGCAGAAGCAUUUACCAUGAUGGCAAUGAUAGAUUACAAAGGGACAGAAAGCAGCAGGGAACAUUAAAUAAUUAGGACACCGGGAGUAUGGAUUUAUAUAAUCAUAUAUACUUGUAUUGAAUAUCGGCAACAAAAACCGAAUCAUGGACGAAACACCAGAAGCAAUCACAGUUAGGAACAAUAGCCUUGAAGCAAUAUGGGUAGGCUUGGUAUGACUAUGGUUUGAUAAAAUCUGAACUAAGGUUGCACUGAUGUUGGAAAAAACAUCUUGAUCUAGACUUGAGUGUAUGAAGAGAAUAUGUUUCCACAACUAUAAUCCAGUUCUAGAAAUGUAAAAUGAGGCCACGACAUCGGAGACUAAGCUCCUAUUAUGAGGCACGUAGGCCAUGACAUUGAAGAUUAAACGCCUAUAACAAGGCAUGUAGGCCAUGCCAUCCAGACCAAGGAACUUUCAAUGUCAACGAUCACCAUCUCAAGCGAUAUCUGAGUGCCAAGCCUACUGAUGGAGUCGAAGUUCAUUAUUUCGACGAUGCUACACAGAAGACUAGGUAUGGUCUAGUUCAAAGACAUUAAAGAAAGAGCGCUUCAUGAGAGGCAACUCAUGUCUGGACUCAUUAUUUUACAUUUUCUUUGAGUCAAAUAGCAUGUUUAGGUGUUAGAUUGAGUCUAGAACUAUUCAACCUGGGUCCUGUUUUGAAUUGUGAGGCGUUACAAUUAAAAUUUUAAAACCAGAGAUUUUGGUGUUUUUGGACCAAAAAUGCGCUAUAAGAUAGACCAAAAGUGCACCACACUUUUGGUCAAGCGUAGAGCACACUUUUGGUCGAUUUUUGAAAAAAUGUCUGUAAAUUUUACCGAUAAUGCACUUUUGGUCAUGUCAGUAGCGUACUUUUGGUAAAAAAGUAGCGAUUUAUCAACAGCCUCCCAUCUCCUUUGCAAAACUUUCACAUCCAUUCCCUCAAAACAUUGAAACUCCCACGACUCUUCUUCUUCAAUCGACGCAAGACCCCGUCGUUGCCACCUUCCCCAACGCAGCCCCAAUCAAUUGCAUCAACUUUCAUCCCGUUUUGAACCAAUUUUGACACUUUUUUGCCCAAUUCCAAUUUUCGACGAAUUUGUGUGUUUCUUCAACUGAUUAUCCAUGGUUAGGGGCUAGUAAGUUCCUCUGAUUGUUUCUCCCUUGUUCCUUUUUGUUGAAUUAUCCAGAUUUUGCCCGAAUUGUUCAUCUUUUGAAUUUUUAAUGAAGCCUAAUUUUUCAAAGUUGAGGGUUUUGAAAAUUGAUUAUGCCAUGUUGAAAUUGGGUAUGGUAGGAGUUUGUGGAUAUGAUUUGCCUCUUGAUUGGAUGAGUUUUUCUUGUUAAAAUUGACAUUUUAGUCAACAAUUUUAGGGUGUUUUUGAGAUAUUGUCUUGAUGAGGUAUCUUGCUCAUAAUUGUUAAAUUUUGGAUGCUAAAAGCCACCCUCAGUUGCAUUAGUUCUUGUAAUCUAAAGAAUCGCUAGUCUGAAUUAGUUUUGUAGCCACCACGUGAUUUCUUUGCGUGGAUAUAGUAAGAUAACUCUGGGGUGGUUCUUGAACAUUUGUUGUAAGAUCUCAAUUUCGGGUUAACCGUGGAUCAUGGGUUGUUGCUUGGUUUUUUUAUUUUUGGAGAAGAUCGUGAUGAAUGAUACGCCACAGGCAUGACUGUUAGUCUAUCACGGGUGUGGCCGUCAGGCAGACCACGGUCGUUGUCAGCACUGUCACGAUCGUGACUAAUAGGGGGACCAUAGACGUGACCGUCUGUAGGCCACGUGCAUGGUUGUUGUGAAGCCACGGACGUGGUGGACUUGUUAUAUAAACAAAGAAGCGACAUGCAAAAUUCAGAAUUACAGAAACCUAGAAUUAGAAUUCUUUGACGAAUGAUGAUUGAUUUCCAGGCAGAGACGAUGGUCAAGAGGAUCGGACCCAGGCUAGUAGGAGAAGGCUAGAUAUCGUUGAGGAAGCUUCAGGAGGUAAUCUAUCUUUUUCCUCCUUUCUCAAAUCCUUUGUUUGAAUCCUACGUAGGCAAUCCUGACAUGUUUGGGGUUUUUGGAAUUCAAUCCUAUGAUUGCUCUCUUAAGGUCAGACGCAUCAGGAGAUUAAGGUCUAAGAAAGAUUGCUUCAGACCAGACUCGACUGGAAAAAGAACUUUUCGGCUUUAAGUGUAAAACUAUAAUUAGGAUUGUCAGAAAUCCGACGAAUGGAUUCUCAUGAUGGUUUAGUGGCGUGCGAUCCACCAUAUCAAUGUCGUGCGUUCAGAGUCAGGCUCCUUGGACUAUGUAGUGGCGUGCGAUCUACUGUAUAGUUGUUGUGAUUACAGAGCAGGGCGCUAAAGCUGUACAGUAGCAAGUUCUACUAUACCGAUGAUUGUAUUCGAGCAUAAGCUCAUACCGUUUGAACUGUGAUUCACUAUUCAUGAUUACCACAAGGUUAAGGUUUAGCUAGACUAGAUCUCGAUAUGCGUUGUUCACCCACCCUUGGAUUGCAAAAUCCCUCAAGAUGUUUCUAUGGCUACGAAAUGACGUGUAGAGUAUGCCAACUGAUGCAACUCACACGAUAUCUACGGUCUACGGGAUAGUUUUCAUGGUCUAAUCCACUAUGAGCUAUCGAUUCUAGCUAGUGGUGAAAAAUGAUAGCAUGAUGCCUACAAACCACAUUAAAGAAGUGACUAGGUUGACUUUCUCCUUCUGUCACAUCAAAAGCUUAAUAAAAGCUCAGUACAGGUUUAGUAAAGGCUCAGUACAGGCUCAAUAAAAUCACUAACCCAAUCUAUGUUUCUAUGCAUGAUCAACUGUGGGACCUUAAGAGCAAAUGCCACAUAAGAGAGCGAGACGACCAGCAACAUCUCGAGUUAGUGGAUCUAGGAGUCAUCAUGAGAGGUACCUUGGAGGGCCUCGAGUUAUCCCUUGUCAUGUUUUCAUAGAUUUUCUUAUUUUCUGAUGUUUGAUAGACUUAUUUUCCAAUUGUCGUUUUCCCAUAUUUGGGAUGGAUUUUAUGUUGUUUAGUAUUGGAUUCGAGCCUGGUUGCUCUGUUUUCUUCUGCUAUCGUUUUGCUAUGGAUUGAAAUUAUAUCCAGUACCGUUAUUUUCCUUUAUGUUUGACUUGAUAUUAUAUGAUGAGUGAACCCGUGAGUAAUGCAUGGAUCGAGCCGCGUGGUUCGAUCGAGUAUCCUAGGGGAGGGUUUCACAUUUUAUGUGGUGUUUUCAUUUUGUAGUAAGCAUGGACGUGUCCCUACCUCUUGUGCUUCCACUAGUGGAGCACCUCUGCCUCCUUCACCACUCAAUUUGGAAUCAUCAUCUUCGGAGGAGGAAAUGGACCUCCCUGCACAUGUUUAGAGUCAGAACGAAGCGCGAAAUGUGCACUGCUUCUUCACUAUAUUGGACACCUGGGCAUGGACCAUGUAUUGGGAUCAUCGUCACCUCUGGCUACACCAACUAUGGUAACCAACCUCGCAAGAAUUAGGGAAAAUAUUCCAAAUUGAGUAGAUGGAAUUGAAGAGGACCUCAACCGUGCAAGGCUUUCUGCCCUGUGCCAGAUUGAUCCUCCACCAAACCUGCUCGCUCUUCAAGAGUUUUGUAGUUCUUUUUGAUUCAAUACUCGUGCAGCGUAUAACGAUAGGAGAUAUGUCUCAUAUCGCCUCAGUAAGAGGCAGUUUAACAAAGCACUGGAUAGGUCCAAGUUUUGUUGGGGUUCUACUGGAUCGACCCAUCUUAGCUCUCACGACCUUAUCGAGAAGGAGAUGACCCCACCAUGAUCCGUAGAGCCUACAAUGCAUUAUGGAGAAAUAUUCUAUGCACCAAAGACCCCACGGACACAUUCAAGACCUCCACAUCUUCCUACACUCAGAUCCUCGACCCGUUCUCCCACCUUUUCCAUAUGUUUUGGAGCUAUGGUCUUGCUUACAGGGAUAGGCAGGAGAGAGGGCCUCACUAUGUCCUUAAAGACGAGAUCAUCUUUCUCCGCGCCAUGUUCAAAAACCAACCACUUCACUUGGGUUGGGUCAUAGCCAAAUUCUUUAACUCUCGCCAUAGUAAAAAGAUUGCCACCUUGCCUGGCAGACAGUUCAUUCGUAGGAUUAUGCAUGAGAAGGGGUUGGAUCAUGCUUGGGAUGAAGUACUUAUGCCACCCGCACUAGCAACAUAGUAUCUUGCGGUGGAGGUGUUGGAGUCCAUGAACAUUGAUCUCGAUCUCACAACAUUGGACCCAACUUCUAUCCGGGCUUGCCAUCCUCGGUUCGGCCAUCCUACGGCAUAGAGAGCUCAGACACAAGGACGUGGUCGAGGUUGCGAUCGUGGAGAGACUCAGCGGGCGAAAGGAGUGGAGCAGGCAGAUUAAGAGAUGCACGAGGCACCGGAUUUUCAGCAGCCACCUCCCACUCAGCAGCCCACUCGCUUUUAGCUGACCCCGUAGUCGAUUGGGAGUCAAUUCAACAGUGGCAGACAUCAUACGGGGAUGACAAUCUUCCUUGACAGCUGCAGUAGAUAGCCUGCCAGACAUCUUUUCUGAGGGCAGUCUACCUUGGCAGCAGGAGCAGUCUUCUUAGCAGGCUCAUUAGGAUAGCCAGCUAGCUGAGCUAGCAGCAGAGCAGGAAGCACAAAGGCAUCACUUUAAGGAGCAACAGUACCAUGAGGAGCAGAUGCGCUAUCUCAGGCAUUUCCCCUACCACCAGACAGGAUCUUACUACCUUUAUCCCUCCCCUCCUCCAGAGGACUACUGAUCCAGUAUCGUUGUUCUACUUCGUAUUUUUCUUUCCUCAUUUUCGAAUAGUGUAUCCACUUUUAUUAUGUGUAGGACUUAGACACUUUUCCUAGUCCCUUUUUACUUGUCCUAGUGUCGCCGUCGAGUUUGAACUUCAUGAGCCAUGUAUCUAGCCUCUCGGAUUUCUGACAACAUCCAAGUUUCCCUAUGCAACUUUUCGUUUCAUUCAGUGACGACACUGUCCAAACUAAGUGUGGCGUGGGUUUGCAUAGUCUUAUUCGGUAGUCGUCUUGCAUAUAGGUCCUAAUCUCAAACUUGUUGGAACCGUCUUUGAAUCGAUUACUUGGCAUGCUUAGAAUACUACUCUAUGAUUUAUGCACUUGAAUUGCUAAUUUACUUAUGAACAUAUAUUUUAUAGGAGUAUUGGCCAAUGAUCAAAGUCUAUUGAUUCGUUCUUUAGAUUUAGUUUGAUGUGUUUAAAGUAGCACACACUCUCCAACUUGAUGUGAUCGGACAUGCAUGUUAUCGAAUCACCAUUGAGAAAAACAAUGUGAGGUCUAAACAAAGACCAUUUUGUAGUAUAGAUAGUCUGCUUCAUCGGUAGAUUUGUUCUUAAAUUGAUUUGAGUGGUCUUCUUUGUUUGUUGUUAAUCCGACACUUGCAUGAUUCCAAACUGAAUUCGCUCAACACCGAUUCACUAGAAUGAUGAUAGAGGCAUUUAGAAAAGCUCCACCACAAAAAUAUCCAUCUCGUCCUUACAUUUCUCCUAAGUAACCCAAACAUAGCCAAAAAGCCGUUUUCAUAACCCACAAAAUAUCGUAUCCCCUUUCUUUCAAGCCUUCAUUUGAUCAUGUGUAUAUUAGUGGCAUGUAACUUAGUCAAGUCUAGGAGUCAAUAAAGUUAUGAAAUUGAGUUACUACAGGAUUAUAUAGUAUCCCUUGAUCUUUUUUUAUGUAUGGUUUCAGUUUCAAAAAAAAGAGAGAAAAAAUAUUUGAAAAUCUCGAAAAAAGGAGAAGACAAGCGAAAAAGGCCCAGUCUUCGAGAUAAAACAAAAAUAAAAUGAAAAAGAAGUUGUAGUAGAUUAGUUGAAUAAACGAGCAUAUAAGCUAAAGUAGGAGUUUGAUAUAAGGGAUAGACGAGCUAGUUUGAAACUCUUGUUGAAAAUGGAAUCCGUGUAUCAUGAUGAUUAAUUGUCUUAGUAGCUUAGCUCCAUAUUAGAUUAGAUCGAGUCGUCCAUCACUGUGUAUACCUACCACCAAAGUCUUUUCACCUUCUCUUAUCUUCUCUUUUCUAUCCACAUUACAACCCGAAUAAAAGACCUCUUGACUGGAAGUUUAGCCGACGGACGAUGAUAUCGGGUGAUCUCAACCUUCGUCUCGAACUUGAGCAGGGUUUGGAUACUCGAAAUUUGUGUGGGUUUGGGGAUUACACGUAACAUUGUUAUAUAUAUAGGACGGGUAGAUUUUAUUCAAUAGGCGGAUGGGUACUUGUAAGUUAACACACGUCUGAUGCGGAUCAUCAAACACACAAGUCUGAUGGUUCAACAGAAAGCAUUGUGCAACUAAGAAUGCUAGUUUCAGAAGUAGCACUCUACAAUUUGCACACAAGUCAUAUUAUAUUACAUAAUUAAUAUUCAUAAUAGUUAUAUAUUAAUGUUAAACUAGCAGAGUAGCAUCUCAAGUCUGAAGCUCCAACAGAAAAUCAACAACAAUUAGCAAAGAUCAUUACUGCCAAUAAUAACUUUUCAAGUGUCGAAACACUACUACCGGUACUCACUGUCUUCUCCAUCGAAAAAUAGGAUGCGUGCCUUGUACUCUCCCCAAAAUGGGGAUGCGCUUCCAACAAAUCUGCAAAUGAAAUAUUGUAUGAAAAUCGUAUAUUGAUUGAUGAUAGUCAAAUCACAAAGCAGAUCGAACGAAUGAAUACAGGCUUAUGAUUAUAACACCGCUUUGCAUUGUAAUGUAGCCUGCUCUGCAACUGUUUGUUUCAAUGAAGAGACACUGCUGAAUGAGACAAUGAAUUAAUUAUGAACAUCCAUACAAAUGCUACUUAUAAAAAAUGGAAGUAUUGACAACGAACGCACCUUCGCCGUCUUUUUUCCUGAAGACCAAGAUUUCGACGACAGAGAUUUCCAGUGUAGAAUAUUCAAUUUUAUAGGCCUCAGUUUUAUCCUCACCUACCUUCUCUGGAUCCAGAGCUUCAAAUGUCACGUAGUAUACCAUAUUGACACCCCAUGAUGCAGUUACAUGUAUAAUCUUUUUGAACUCUAGCUUCUUCUUCAGCAAAACCACAUCAUUACAUUCAAAGCUGAAUAUCGUAUUAUGUUAAUUCUUCAACUGCUUCAGGUAUAUCGAUCAAUCUAAACAGUAGUACCUCUUUCUCAUAAUAGGCAUCCAGGCAGGCUUUAGCUGAUUCUUCAACUUCAUCGUCCCAAUCCAAAUAUAGAAAAUGAUCACGGUUGUAUAUUCCAUCAAUGUAAGCAUAGGGAGGGCAGUCAACAUAGAAACCCUACACCACCAUAUUGUUGGGGCGCUAACGGAAAUGUAGCGGAAUUUAGGAUCGAAUAAGAUAAUAUUUUGAUAAUUCACUUAAUUAAUCACUCAUUUUUUUAAAUAUUACAACUUGGUCACUUGACCAAUUCCCUCACUCUCACAAUUUGCUCACAUACACCUCUUUGCUCACAAUUUGACCUCUUUGCUCACUUUUGCUUUGCUUACAAUUUGUUUUCCUUGCCUCUCCAACUCAAUGUACAACACCUAUUUAUACUCAUAAUUUUACAUUAGAAUAAUAAGAUAUUUUUGUUAUCUCCACCUACACCAUCUCAAAUUAGUGGACUUCAUUUUGUUCCAUUAUUUUAUAACUUCAUAUCAAAUUAAUAAGACUAGUUGGGAGGUUGAGAUAUUUGUGUGGAGUGAUCUAGCGAAAGAAUACUCUAGAUUGUUGAUUACUUACUUUCAACACCCCCUCUUAAUCUGCAAUCUGGAGUAGGUGUUUGAAUUUUUCGAGCAUGUCCUUGGUUACCGCCUUCAUCAUGAAAUCUGCUAGUUGGUCAUCGGUGUUGAUGAACUCCAUUGUAAUUUCUCUGUUGGUGACUAGCUCUCGUAUGAAAUGGUGUCAUAACUCGAUAUGUUUCGACCUUGCGUGAAAUCCUGGAUUCUUCAUCAUGGUGAUGGCUGACAUGGUAUCACAGUAAAUAAUGGUUGGUUCAUUAUCACCUUGUUGCAAGUCUUCAAUUAAUCUUUUUAGUCAUACUGCCUCGCAUGCUGCAUCUGUUGCUGCAACAUAUUCUGCUUCCGCUGAUGAUAAUGUCGCAGUCUUCUGCUUCUUUGAGCUCCAGGAAAUUGGUUUUGUACCUAAGCAAAAUAUGUAACCAGAUGUACUCUUUCGGUCCUCUUCUUCUUCUUCUUCAAACGUAUCAAAUCAUUAGUUAAUAAGAAUUAACCUAGGGUUCAUCUAAUCUAAGCAAGAGAAGUUUAGAUGCUCAUAAUCUCGAAAGAAAAAUCUAAAUCAAAAGAGGAAGACAUUGAUUCUAGGUUUACACAAAGAAUUAUGAAACACCUAAUUUCGCCAAUCUUCUCGAGAACUUGAUUCGCCGUCUUGAUUAUUUCGCCGAUCCCGAGCUCCUUGAAGUCGCUUUCUCGUUGCUCUUGAAUCUAUGAAUUUCUCUCUAAAUUUUUCCCAAGAAAUUCUAUGAAUUAUGAGGGAGAGCUGGACUUUUAUAGAGAAGGAUUCCUUCAGCCUGUCGGAUACCAAUAAUGCGAUGUACACGGACCAAAAGUGCCCCACGCACAUUUGGUCUAUUUACGGCACACUUUGGUCUAGUUUAUAGAGACCUUUGAACUCAAAAGUUUUAUAAAAUUGAACUAUCUUUCCAACGUCGCCAGCCUUGCGUCAAUCGGACUUCUGAGCUAGGAGAUAUAUCCAAAAUACAAAACUGUGAUGUUUUUCCGAUUAAGUCAAAAUCCAAGCUCCUAGAAGAUUCAAAAUGCUUCCCAUUGCUUUUCCUAGACAACUCACACACACCGUAUCGCUCCAAUUAAUGCCUCAAUGUCGUCAUGUACCUGAAAUCUAUUAAAAACACUCUAAAACCAAUGUUCAGGAAGGCGUAAGGCGUAAAUAAGGCGGUGAGGUCUUGCCUCACGCCUUGGACGAUUAGGCGUUGCCUAAGCGCGAUUAGGCGUUUAGAAAAAAUGCAUUAGAUUUUAGGUUUAGUGUGCAAGAUCAAAUAUAACUGUUCAUAAGUUUACAGAGUUGUAGUUAUGUAACUAACAAAGUUCAAGAUAUCAUAUAUAAAAAAACAAACAUAACAAACAUAACAAAAUAACAAUAAAAAAAUGACAAAAUAAGCCAUAAAGGCGAUGUCAACUCGUAGGUUCCUACGUGAUCACACAAAAUCUUUCAAUUUAGGGUGAACUAUGUAUUUUUUAUUCUUAGUUUUAACGCCUAAUAGGAUUUCGCCGUCGCGGUAAUCGAUUCCUCAUCCGUCGCGGAAAUCGAUUCCUCAUCGAUUUCGCGCGAUUCCUUAGUGAUUACUCGGUCGGCCGCCUUAUUUCAUCGCCUUGCCCGAGGCGAGGCGUUUUGCCGGUGCCUUGGGGUUUUUCCCGCCUAGGCGGACGCCUAAUCGCGUCUUCCAUAACACUGUCUAAAACAACAUAAAAUGGAACCCGAACGGGUCUGAGACACUAAAUUUAGAUAGAUGUUAGAAAUGCACGAAACAUCCUAAACUUCUACCCAAAACUAUACAAAUGCGCAUGAAAUGUCGCUUAAAUGAGGAUGAUGAACACGAAAAAUUAAGUCUCAUCAGAAACUUACAGCAGUAAAGUGGAUGUUCCACCUCACCCGCUGGAGCCAAGACUGAGGAGUAGAGUCGAUGGAGGUGAAGGUUGCCAGGCCUCGGAACCAGUCGAUGGCUCUGCCCUCCCCGGUAUAGAAGCCGCAGACCACGACCAACUCAUCGAGAUAGAGGACGUUUGCGACAAUUGUAAAGUAAGCGUCAGCCUGGUCCACCCGACCAUGAGAUCCACGUACAAAGUCACGAAGAACUCGUCUGCCUUGAAUACGCGCUCAACAUGUCUGUUGUGGUGCAGCUUCGCUGCACCGCCCUCCCAGUCACCGAACGGAGUGUCCAUGAUCCCCUCCCAAUCGAUCCGCCUGACCUGCUGAACAGGCUUGCCUCGAAGUUGCUCUAUGCAGGAGCGAUGCACCUCGUUCAGGAAGUUAAGGUAGGCAGCAGCAGUCCGGGUGACACCCUGUUCCAGGCUCUCUUCAUGGGCGGUGUGGUAAGCAUCAACAACAGGGUCCUCUCUCGCCCCAUGAUGAGUAUGCUUGGGCCUUGGGUGCAUCAAUUUUUGACACGACAAUCCUUCGCCAUACAUUUACACAUAAACAGAGAAUUAGUGACUGCAAACGAUCGAUCACGGGGAUGCUGUAUAUUUGACCACGAGCGUGUUGUAUAUACCACCACGGACGUGGGGAUGGGUCAUCACAGGCGUGAUGGAUAGACCACCAUGGUUGUGGUGAGUGGGACAGCCAUGGGCGUGACUACCCCAAAGAGUCAGAAAAUCGCGUUGAUGACCUAGAGUCAAUCGACAUAAUAGAAGUUCCAUUCCUCCACAAAUCAUAAUACUAAAAAGUGAAAUUAUAGCCUUAGCAAGUGGAGUUAGAAGUCUAUGUUCUAAAAUGAAAAGCAAUAUGGAGGAAUAGGGACUUACCGUUGGUUGAGAAGUCGCACAAGCAGGAAGGAGGAGACAACAACAACGGUGUCAGUGAUGGAGAAGUAUGCAGAAGAAGGUGAAUUAGGCAUCUCGAAGCAUGAAUAAAAUGGAAUCUAGGGAAAGGAGAAGGAUGGAACUUACGGUGAAUCAAAGGAAUGAAUGAGGGAGAAGUGGUCGACAACGGGCAUGAGAGGAAUCAACAUAAAUUGGAAGAGAAGGGGGAAGAUUGAAAAUUAGGGAUUUGAAAAUAGGGGAUCAAUUUCCUUAUAUAGAGUUGACCAUGGGUGUGGUGACCAGUCUACCACAGGCGUGGUGAUGCAGACCACCAACCUGGAUCCAUGAGGGUUGGCCGAAACUAUGGGCUAAGAAUAGGCUGAAACUUUGGGCGAAGAAUAUGCCCAACAAGUGUUAUAAGGAAUUGAUCAAUCAGGCUUAGUCUGAAAAUAUAAGGGUCUGAAUAUGGUCUGGUAGUACCCCUAAUGGUCUAUUUUUGUAAUAUUGUCAAGGUAUUGGGUAUAAAGAUUCGACAGAUGAGACCACUUGCAGAAGAUGUUACCAUCACCGUAACCAGAGCUUAGUUAGAGACCUUGAAAAGAAGAGAAGUCAGUGGUUUCUCUCUCCUGAGACAAAGAAGGGGUAAGUGGAUAAAUGAACCACAACCAGUUAAGGAGACGGUCUCUCAAGGUCAGGUGACGAGGACCUAGUCGUGUUUUGACAUAGAAUCGACAAGGGCAUUAAUCAAGGCCAAGGACAAGUUCCUUUUCAAGUAGUCCACCGGUUAUGAGUGAUGUGAGGUAGAGGAAAUGACCCUUAGCGGAUAUGUCCUUAUCACAUGAGUGAUGUGGGGUAGAGGAAGUGACGAGGACCUAGUCAUUUUUUAUCAGGUGGGUAUCUCGUGUGCGACAACAUGAGCCAUAUGCAUGGUUAGAGAACUAGCACUAGCAUGGAACUGCGAAACUGAGGCUUUGACCUUCGCUAUUUAGCAGCAUCUGAGAAAGUUGCCCAGUAGUAGUGCUCAGCGAACACCAAGGUUGAGGGUUCGGCUCUAUGUUGAGCAUGAUUGACCUUGGUCUAAGGCAAGAGGUAUAAGCUUAUGUUGGCAAGGAAUAUGCUCAACUUAGCUUGGAAAUCUUGGCUCGGUCGGGAGCAGCUUUCCGAGGGACAGACUCGAAAGAGUUUUGCCGGAACAAGGAAUUAGCUAUAUGCUUCACGCAAGCGUGAUGAGCUAGGGAUAGGCAAGUUAUGGUGUGUACCAUGAUCUUUUUUCAAAGUCAAAGUUGUAACUUGGACCAUUAGGUCAUCACUAAGGAGUAAAUUCCAAGCAGGGUGCAAGCAUCGGGGUUAGAACACCGUUGUGCCAAAUUGUUUCACUCAGUAGGGUAACAUUCAGAUUUCAGGACAAAACCUUUUGUAGGAGGGGAGAGUUGUGACACCUUGACUUCAGGUCAACUUUUGGUUUGAGUUUUAGCUUGAACUAGCUGGAUUUUUGGGUUUGAUUGGUGGACCAUCACGGGCGUGACCAGUCGUCAGUCACGGGCGUAAUUGCCAGACUGACCACGGUUGUGGUCAUCAGUCAUUCAUGGUCAUGACCAUCAUGAAGCCACGGCCAUGACCAUCAGUACGUCAUGGGCAUUAUGAACAGGCAGUCACGGGCGUAAUGGUAAGACAGCCACAUGCAUGAUGGACUUAUUAUAUAAGUCAGAAUUGUGAUCAGAAACUCAGAAAAACACAGAAACAUACAUGUGGCGACUUCUUCCUAGGAGAUGAGGGAGAUCGACCAAGAUGUGAAGUCAGGACUGAUCGGUCUAUGAUCAGGGGUAGAGGAUUAGAAAAGCUAGGAGAUUCAUGAGAAGGUAAUCAAUCCUCUCAUUUCUCUCUUAAUUCCAUAGAUUGAAACCCACGUAGGAAAAUCUAAUAGUCAGGGUUUUUGAGAGAUUUGAUCAUUUAUUGGUCUCUUCAAGUCUAUCAAGACGGGAGGCUUGAGCUUCGGGAAGGAAGCCACGAAUCAUACUCUACCAUGCAGCUUAUCAGAGGUGGGGGGUUAUGAUUACUUUUCUGCUUUAAGCGUAGAACUGUAAUUAGGAUUUUCAGAAAUUUGAUGAUCGGAUUCUCAAGACUGCACAGUAGUGUGUGAUCUAUUGUACAUGUGUUGUGUUUUAGAGCCAGGCUCCCGAAACUAUGUAGUAGCGUGUGAUCUACUACACAAGUAUUAUGAUUACAUAGUCGGGCUCUCAGGACGGUACUGUAGCAUAUGAUCUAUUGUACAAGGGUUGUGAAACAGAGUCGGGCUCUCAGACUGUGUAGUAGAGUGUGAUCUACAGGCAGUUGUUUAAGUUCAAGCAUAAGCUCAUGACGUUUGAACUGUGAUUCACGGUUCAUGUUUAGGACAUGAUUCAGGUUUAGCUAGUUUAACUCUCGAUAUGUGUUGAUCACCCACCCAUGGAUUGCGCAAUCCCCAGAAUGUUACUACGGUCAUGCCAGACGUGUCAAGUAUGCCUACAGAUGCUGCUCACACGGUAUCUACGGGGAGGUUUCAUGGGCUGAUCCACCAUGAGGCUAUCUAUCAUAGCUAAGGGUGGCUGAUGUUAGGAUGAUGCCUACGGAACCACACCGUCACAUUACUAGAUUUAGGGAUUAGUUAGUCUAUCUUGUUCUAUCUUCUUUAUAUAGUCAUAUUGAGUCUAGUUUAGCCACUCAGUGCUUAUCACUGACCUCAUUAGACUUUGUUUUCUUUGGCAUAUCUAUGUGUUCAGUCACAUGUACUGGAGCUUAUGGUGGGGGGAGAUCUGGUCAGGAUUUUGAUACCAAAUGGUAUCGUUUUGCUGUAUUUUUAGAACUGGAGUUGCACCUUCUUUUAACUUGUGUUUUGGGAUCCGGAAUCCUAGUUGGUCAGUUAUUUAAGUAUUUUAGUUUGACUUUUAAUAUUUGUUUUAAUGCUUUGGUUAGUAGUUCAGAGUUGGGUUAUGGUUCAGGUUGAAACCCGAGUAGGUUUCUUUGGUUGAACCAGUAGUUAGACUGGGACUCCUAGGGUGGGGUUUCACAAUGUUUUUAUUUGUAACAUCUAUAGUGUAUAAAAUAAGCUAGCGUUUGAGUUAUGUAAUUCAUAUUGGUCUAUUAGUGAUUUACAAAGUUUAAGUGUUUGAAAAAUGAUAUAGUUUGUUUAUCCUUUUUUACAUUUCAAAGCCUCUUCGAUUAUGAUAAUAACCGUAAACCGCCAGAAAACCAACAUGUAUGGCUACGGUAUGACAUUUGCUACCUGAAAGUUAUAUAGUUUGUUGCUAAAUGAUGUUGCGAUAAAAAUUUUACUAGAAAUUUCUAAUCAAUUUCUGAGAUGGAGAUGAUCUAAGGUGAGUAUUUUCCAAAAUCUAAUUACAAAAGGUAAGAUACGAAUAUCAACUAACCGAACUCGACCUGACACUUACUAAGCCUACUGAAUUUAGCUUUUGUAGCUAGUUUUGUUGAUGGUUACUUUGAUCAUUUGGGCUAUACCUAUCCUUUCCUCUCUUUUUUUCCCGAGAUAGCUCAUGUUAUCUGAUCGUCAAACAGUCUGCAGUCGGAUCUCGGACAAGGAAGCCAGUUGACAGAUCCGUUGAUGAUACAGCCGUCGGAUGUCAAGUUGGUGUGGCCAGUGCGGUUGUGGGUCGCCAUUGCCUAUGCGUCUCUUUUGAUACCUACCUGGCUAACGAACUGCCUUAAAACGAAUCACGAACGCAAAAUUUAAAGGUGACAAGUCCCUAAAAAUUGCUCCCUGUCCUUUCUUUUCGAAGUUCACAUAAAGGUCGUUUGUCCGGGUGAAUUCGUAGGAAGAGAAUUCAAAUAGCUAAAGAAUUCAAAUAGUUAGAGAAUAUGAGGGUCAUGCUAUUUCAAGAAAUAGAAUGUUUGGUUGUGUCAUUUUAGGUGAUUGUUGGGACUAGAGAAUUCAUAAAUUAAAUGAAAUGGAAUGAAUUCUCCCAAAAUCCCCUUCCUAACUUAGUGAUUUCAAUAUGAGCUCAAAAUCUCUUGGGUCCCACAUCAAGAAUUCAAAUCUCUAACAUUCUCCCAUAAUUAAUUGUGAUCCAAACAAUCUAUUUGACAAAAUCUCUAACUUAGAGAUUUUAGAGACCAAAUCACCCAAAAUCACUCAAAACAAUCACUUGUACAAACAACCCCAUAAUGUUUUCUUACAGCUCGGAUUUAUCUAAUUGAGUGCUCUGCGACCAAUUAUCACCCUGUCAAGUCAUUAUCGAUAUGAGUUGAGUGGUUUCUACCCAAAAAAAUGUUGUCAACAACCAACCCUCUGCUCUGACCACCAAGUCAAAAAGAAGUCAUCAACGCCACAGCUAUUUGCUGAUCUCCUGUCCACCCAUCGUAAGAUACGCCCUCCACUCAAACCGUUGGAUCCACAGGGUGAAACUAAAGUCCAACCCUCAACAACGGCUCGCAUAAAACAGCCCCAUUUUGCGCAGUUGCUUCGGCAGCAAAAACCCUCGUCCCUCGCCUUUCCCACCUAAUCUUCCGCAUUUCCGCCUUCCACUUUGAUUAUCUCGUCGAGAUGAAGGCGUCUUUCAAGGGAAAAUACGACAACGGCAAGUCUACCGCCGCCACUACUCUUGUCCUUAACGCCGGCGAUGUUAAGCUCCGAGCUUCCCUCACGGACGCCACCGUCACUAAUGGCCCCAGCCUCAACGGUUUGGCUUUAGCCGUCGAGAAGCCCGGAUUCUUCAUCCUCGACUACAACGUCCCCAAGCAGGUACUUCGGAGUCAAUCCACCUUUGAAUCUAUGUCUUCCCGCAGGUAGUUUGAAUUGACUCAGCAAUUUGAGUAUCUGCAGCAAAAGUUGGCGGAAUUUAGUUGUAUUUUGAACAGAUAAUCUGCUUUUAACCCUACCUGCUCUAGUUUAGGGAAAAGUAUGGAGUUUCAGAUCAAUCCUUAAGACCUUAAGUUUGAGAUAAUCAAGUGGAUUCCUUGGUCCAAACGCUGGAGUUGACUUAUGCCUGAUUUUCCCUUAAUUCAUUGUUGUUGCAGGAUGUCCGUUUCCAGUUCAUGAAUACUGUCAGGUUUGCGGAUAAGCCCUUGAAUCUGACUUACAUUCACAGCAGAGGGGAUAACAGGACUAUGUUGGACGGAAGUCUUGUAAUUGAUUCCGCUAACAAGGUUUCUGCUAACUAUGUGGUUGGUACCAGCAACUGCAAGUUGAAGUACUCGUACAAUCAUGGAGGGUUGACCACGUUCGAGCCUACUUAUGAUUUGGCAAAGAAUACAUGGGAUUUUGCAGUCUCACGAAGAGUUUAUCAGGAUGAUGUAUGUAGGGCUACGUAUCAAACCUCAAGCAAGCUAUUGGGAUUAGAGUGGUCAAGGAAUUCAAAGUACAAUGGGAAGUUUAAGGUAAUGAGCUACUGUUUCAUGUACCAAACACUCUCGAUUCUUUCUGUUCUUAUGAACUAGCUUCUACAUAGCAUGUGUCUCAGCUCUAAAUGUGGUUAAUGUGUUGUAUUUGGCUUUUGAAUUGUUUACAUAGAUACUAGGAAUCUUAGUUAUGCUGGGGCUUGGCAAGUUGAUUCGACCUGUAACUAUUGUUGAUGCUUUAGCUGGCUUUAGACCACCUAGAAGUUAACUGCAUAAGCAUUCCAGAAACUGAACUUGCUUGGUGAUGUUGUUUUCAAAUAAUCUGACCACACAAAAAUUCCUACAUAGUACAUAAGCGUGACUUGUCUUUUCAACAGACGUAAAUAUGAUUCAGUGUUUAGAUUGGGUUGAUGCUUCCAAAAACGGUGUCUUCUGCAGUUUGAUUGCCUGCAUUUCUGGUUGGUUGGUUUGAUUCAAUUCCGUGGAUAUUUUGACUCCUAUUUCCUUGUCAGUUGUAUGCCAUUUCCUUUUUACUGUCAACAAGGUGCCUUUGAGGAAAGACAACCACCAGAAUUCCUCAAUUUGUCUUCAUUGUGAUGUUUUGCGCAGCCUGCUCUGAAACUGGCAGUAUCGAUGUCUUGUCUGAUACAUGCAACCUAAGCUUAGAUAAUCUCAAAAUUUUCAGUAUGGAUACCUUGUCUGAUUUAUGCAACCUUAGUAGGGAUCUAUAUGGUACAUUUUUAUCUCUUGCGUGUAGCUACUUUGCAUCAAACGCUGGAUUGGAUGAACAAUUUGAGCUGCAUUCCAUUUGUGGGUUGGAUUAAAACUUUUGAUUGAUGAGAUGCUUUUAUCCGUAACAGGUUUCUGCAUCUAUGAAUUUGGCGGAGGAAUCUAAAAUGCCGAAGCUAAUGGCGGAGACUACAUGGGAUAUUGAGAUGUGACUUGUUUUCAGGAGAUGAGGUAGCCGUUUUGGAAUGUUGUUGUCCUGUAUUGUUGAACCCUGACGACCAAGGUCCCAUAAGUAUCCUUGCUCAGUUCCUUUUUUUUAAGCAUUGUCCAUAAUUCUUGUUUUGCUAGAAGGGGACUCGACUAUGGAGAUUGGAUCUAUUUUGAAAACUUAAUAACUAAUCCCCCUCCCUCCUAUUCCUAUUACAAUGAAACUUUCAAAAUCAUUCGUUCUUGUCGUUUGGUUUGCUCUUUGAUGCUACCAGAAGCAGAUUUCUUGAUUUUCCGCCUAGGCCUGAUCGGACCUGGAUGCUUUUAAUUUUCGUAUUCCGCCUGGGGUUGAUCAGAACGGGAUGAAGAGCAUAUAGGCGAGUUUUUUUUUAUGACAGAAAAAGACACAACUUUCAUCCUUUGGUUCCUUUGCUAUGUUUGAUGAACCGGAUUUGGCAAUUCUUUAUGCGGCACCUGAGGUAUGAACUGAAGUUUGUGAGGAGAGGUUAGAACGAAGCGGCUCAUCCUUUGUUUGACUAGACGCUAUUUUUUUGGGUAUUUAGCCUAAUUUGAGACACUAAACCCUCCGGACGGGUUGAAUGAUGCUUUGUGAAGAUACACUAUCUACUCAUGAUGAUUACCAAUAUCAGCAAUAUUGCUUUGGGAAAACAAAUUCUAACUGUCUAUUUACGUUCAUUGUCGUCCCAGAUGCUGUGAACCGAGAUUUUAUAUCACCUAUUAUGUAAGUUUGUGGACUUAAUCAACAAACUUGAAAGUUGACGGACUCAUUUUAACUAAAUAAUGUAUCAAAUAUUGCGGACCUAUCAAGUGGCCCCUAUCAGGGUCCAGGGCCCGUGGCUGCUUUCCUUUCUAGCGGGGUCUGGGACGUUCAGACUCUUCGACAGUGAUUUACAAGGGAAUCGAUUGACCGGAUCUUAAGAAUUCCCGUCCCGCAUACGCCCUAAGAUGAUUGUUUGAUUUGACAUUACUCGUCGUGUGAUACUUACAAUACUUCUUCUGGGUAUGAGUUCUUGGCUUGUGCCACCUUCACUUUCUCAUCAUCCAAAGCUUCGCCAGUAAGCCCACAUUUAUGGCGCUCAGUUUGACAGGUCCAGGUUCAUCCCAAGUUACGAUUUUUUCUCUGGAAGUUGCUUGACCGCAUCCUACCUACGCUGGAAGCCCUCUCAGAUAAAGGGAUGGAUGUUCCCACUCUUUGCCCGGUCUGCUCAGUUCUGUGUGAGUCUCAAGAGCAUCAGCUAUUUUUUCUCCCCCUUCUCGGUACGGUACUAUGGCCUCUGUGAUGGCCUCUGUGGCCUGACCAUUCCUGCUCUUUCAGAUACUCAUUUUUGCUAUUUCUAGGAUCACAUCCUCCUUGAGCAGCCGCACUUAGCUCCUAUAUAGACUUUGGCUUGGUGGCGCAUGUGAAAAAGCCAAAACUGGGUUAUGUUUGACCGGACUCAAUGGUUGUCGUCUCCUGUAUACAAACAGUUUUGCUGCCAGGUGGCGGAACUACCCCACCUUCUCCCUUCUCUCCCUCCUACCGCCCCACCAGCGUCGCAGCCGCCGCCGCCCUUGGAUGUCUGGACCCCGCCGACAUUUCCACGCUUCAAGAUCAAUGUAGAUGACGUUGUCUGAUCCCCUGUAGGCGGCUCUAUGGGCUGGGUCCUUCGCGACUCGGCGGGUGUUGUGCUCCAUACGGUUGGGGCACUCCUUACCCAGGUAUAUCAGAUCUGCUUGUCUUAGAGCUACUUGUAGUUCGGGAUGCUUGUCAUUGGUGUUGUUGUUCUGGUUUUUUGCAGGUGGAUUUCGAAGGGGAUGCUGAAUUGGUGGCCACCUACAUUUGCGAAAGGCACGUGUUCCUAAGCGCAGGGGGCACCAUUGUCCGAGAAAUCAUCGAGAUGCUCUCCUCUUCUUCGGGGUUUCACCUACGGAAAUAAUUUCCGGCCGCAGCUAGUUUGGGCCGGAACGAGCGGCCAGCCGGGGCCUAUUUUUUUUAAAAAAAAUUCUGAAAUUAAUUAUUAAUUAUUGUGAUUAGUAUAAUUAGAGAAUUUUUAGGGUAUGAUUAGUGUAAUUAGAGAAUGUUAGUGAAUAUUUAGAAUAAUUAGGGUUUUGUUAGUGAAUAAUAAUUAGGAUUUUGUUAGUGAAUAAUAAUUAGGGUUUUGUUAGUGAAUAUUUAGGAAAAUUAGGGUUUUGGAUUAGGGUAUUAGGGUUUUGUUAGGAAUAAUAAGAAGUGAACCUAGUUGAGUAGAAUCCGAAUUUUAUUAGAAACAUUUGUUUGUUUAAAUGCAGUUUAGUGACAAAUAUGGCGAAAAAGAAAUGCGGAGGUAAAUCGCACAGUCGAGAUCCGGUAGAGGAAGAAACCGAUGGGAUCCAGAGAAUGAGAGGGAAAGGAAAACAAGCGGGCGUUUUAGAUCGGAUGAAAGAGCGAGUGGUCACCGCUUCGCGNNNNNNNNNNNNNNNNNNNNNNNNNNNNNNNNNNNNNNNNNNNNNNNNNNNNNNNNNNNNNNNNNNNNNNNNNNNNNNNNNNNNNNNNNNNNNNNNNNNNNNNNNNNNNNNNNNNNNNNNNNNNNNNNNNNNNNNNNNNNNNNNNNNNNNNNNCCACAGACUUCUCCGCACAUGACUUAUCCACACAUGGCUCCUCUACACACGAGCUCUCCGCACCUCGCAUCUACGGGCUCAUCACAUGCCUCCGCGAGUGUCAGCGUGAGAGGAGGGAAACCUAGCCGAACGAAAGUUCCGAAGGAGGACCACCCGUUGGGCUCGAACGAAAAAUUCGGCCGCAAGAGGCCCCGGCCGGAAGCUCGUUUCAGCCGGAGUGGGCCCCGGCCGGCCUGCCGUUUCAUCGGUACAAAGUUUCUCGAAUUAUACAUUUUGAUAGUUUUGUCAAUACUAAGUUUUUCGAAUUAAUAAAUUUAGAUAGUUAUGUCAUUACGAAGUUUAGGGCGUUGUUUAAUUCGAAAGUUAGGGCGUCAAAUAGUAGGUAUAUUCCUUAGAUUGGAAUUUUUCCAUUUCUUAUAUUUUACUUUUGGCGGGGUCGUUUUGUGUUAUUGCUCAUAAUUUUCAUCGUUCAGAAUUUGCUCUUCGAAAUUCUUCCGCCAUUUCUGUGUAUUCAAAGUCACUUCCCGCCCUCAACCCGAUUUCCCCGCUUAAAACUAGAAAUCCAUCAUCAAAAACCAAAACCUGCCAAGUUUACACACCAACAGACUAUUCAUCUUCUCCUUCUUUGUAGUCCGUUCUCCCGAUCUGUGUAGAGAGAACCCAAUUCAAUUUAUUUGUAGAUGGACUCUGAUGAAGAGUUUCUGCAAUUCGCCGAUGCCGAGGAAGCCCCUCCUUCUCCAGGUCCUCGAAGGAAGCUAAAACGUUUGAGGAAAGUAACAAGCCCGAAAAAUUCCGAGUAUGCAUCUCCCGUUGAAGACGUGCCUGUGACUUCCCCUUCCCCGUCCCCUUCUCCUUUUGAAACCCUAGUUUCGGCCGAGAACCACGAUGCAAAUGGAUUGGAGGGGCUCAGCUCCAGAUCUGUGUUCGAGUCGAUGAGUAUUGAGGAGGAGAUUAGUAUGAAUGAUAGAGUUGCUAGUGUAGGUAUGGGUGGACGAGUGACUGGAGUCAAAAGGUUGUUGGAAUUCGGAUCCGAUGGCGAGGAACUUGACGGGGAAAAUAGAGAUCAAAUUGCGAGUGUGGGUAUGGACGAAGGAAGUAACGAUUCCAAGACAGUGGAAGCGGAGAAGGAGCGGCAUGUACGAGAUGGAGACGAAGAAAAGAAGGGAAAGUCAAAGAUGAAGAAGAAGAAGAAAUCUCGUGAUGGUGAUGAUGAGAAAGCAAGCUCAGUCGUCUCAUCCAAGAGGGGAGGAGAGAAGGUAACUUUCUUCUUUACCUACGUGUUUUGAACUGAUUUUUAUCCAUUUCUGGUUUUGGUUCGUUAGAAAUUGGUUUUGGCAUGCGCAGGAUAGGAGAAAUCGUCUUAAGGAAUUGCGUGCUGAAUCUCAAAGGUUGUUAAGAGGUAAUACUAGGGGGUUCCUCUUUUGAAUAGGAACGAGAGAUACAUGGCAUUCUUUUUUAUCUUCUAUUAACUUUGUGAUUGCUUUCUUCUGCUUGUUCAGAGACUACAGAUGCAUCGUUUAAACCUCAGCCUCUAAUUCGGAAGCCUGUUUCCACGGUUUUGGAGAAGAUUCGGCAGCGGAAGCUUGAGUUAUUGAAAAGGUACGAUCAAGUGGAACUUCUGAGAGUCUGAUUUAGGCAGCAACCUACUAGAUAGCAGUUGUAAUUAUAAACUGGUUGUUCGUUACAGAUCCACCAGAGUAAAUCUUUCUCCAGCUGAUGACAAUUGUGCUUCUCCUGGGGAUUUCUCUGUGAACCUGGAUUUUGUGGAUGAUCAAGUUGAGGACAUUGAGUAUUCAUACUUUUCCACAUCAGAUGGUGCAAAAGUUUUGGAGAAGCCUGCUGAUAUGGCCGAAAAGUCUGAUGUUCAUGAUGGAGAAGGAUUGAAGGAUACUGAAAGUCCUAACACUAGAAGUUUUGCGCCUGAAAUAGUGAGUUUGCUUUCACUUCAUUUUCAAAGUUUCUUACUAUUGUCCGCUUUGAAUGGAGGGUUGUAUGGUUCAGUUACAUUGACUAAAGGAUAAUAUACAAGGUUUUGCUUGUUGCUAAUCUCGAAUUUGAUACGCAUGAAUUUUACAGUACUGGUAUGAUUGAGUAACAGACGACCGACGUAACAUGUUUUCUUAAUUUUACAGGCCAUGGGAGAGGAACCAAAGCAAACAUUUCGAGCUCCUGUUAAUGAUACACAGGUUUGAUUCCGUUAAGUUUACACUUAAUUUCACUUAACAAGUUUGCAUCUUGAAUCUUAAUCGCCUCACUACUUGUAUGCAGGAUCUCCUAUUUGAUUCACAACCAAGUGACAGUAAAGGUGACUUGUUUGAUGAGACACCUAGCAAUCCUCUAGAAGAAGUUCUUGCCCCAUCGUUACUCACAAUGAAAUUGAAAUUUGACUCUGCUUACCCUCAUGAUUCGUAAGUCCCAAGUCAUUACAAGUCUUCAUGUGCUUCUCUUCUGAAGAUUAUGAUAUGUCAUAGAUAUAAUAAACUUGCAUUUCAACAUCUGUAUUUCUUAAUUAUGGAUUAUUAAUAGCUAAUGCAUUUGGGAAUACUUCUGUAGCUGAGCCCUUGAGGGUUAUGGUCAAUGUUGGUCUCUUUAGUUUUCUAAAUUACACCUUUAAAAUUUCUGAUUUAGUUCCUCGGAUGAAGAGGAAGACAAUGACAAGGAAAAUGUUGAUCCCCAUCGUUCUGGGGCUGUCGAGUUGUCUCGGGAUCCAAUGAAAGCUUUCAUUGAUGAGGAAGCCGAGGAAGAGGAUGACAGUGAUAAUGACUUGCAUCGCUUCCAAGACAAUGAGGAAGACGAGGAUGACCUUGACUUGGAAGAGCUCAAUGAUAUAAUAGCAACUGGAUAUGAGGAGCAGCCUGUUGAUGGAGAAAUGCGCAAUGAACUUCAUCAGAAGUGGCUUGAGCAACAGGAUGCUGUUGGAACAGAACACGUCAUGAAGAGACUGAACUGUGGCGGUUCCAAACUGAAGGAUCCAACAUUGCUCGAGGAAAAAGAAGAGGGAAGUAAAUGUGAAGGAGACUUUCUUGAUGACACUGCAGAGGAAAGCCCUGUUACUAGAAAUGUGAUGCAAAUGCACUUAAAGAAAGCCAAAGAGAUGAUCCACCAAAUGUUUACAGAUAACGAUGAUCUCUAUGUUUCAUCAGAUGAUGAGGAAACUGAAAGAAGCCUUGUGAAACAGCGGAUGCUGGUCAAUAGGGUGAGUGCUUGGCGACAACUUGAAUUAUUAUCCCCCCACCCCACUAUCUCACAGUUGCAAACGAAAUGUAUACAGGAACAGGAGGAUGAAGCUCUGCUUGUACCACCAGCGGAGGAUGAAAGCUCCAACGACACAUUUAGAAUAAAGAAGAUGAACACUGUACUUGACAGUAAGAAGAAAUCCAAGAUAGCAUGUACGUCUUCUGCAAUAUAUUUAAACUAAAUGGGAAGAGACUUGUUUUGCUAUAUAAUUUGCAUACUUGUUGGAUAUCUGACCCUUUUGAUGGUUCUGCAGCCUACUUUAAUCAGCUAUCUAUUGGAGGCAACAAAGCUAAAAUGUCUAAGGUAAAAUUAUUUGGUUGAGGUUGAAAUCUGGUACAAGAUUAAACUGUUCAAAGUAGAAAAUACAAGUGUGAAAGGUGCAGCCUUAGCAGUUAUGAGAUUCGUAAAAUUGUUGUGUUUGCUAUAACUAUUCAUUAUUGCAAACUAUGUUGCAGUCUUCUUUCCUAAAUCGUGGGGCAAAAAAUGGGAAUCAAUCAUUCCAAAAGAAGGGAACGAGCAUAUUGCGGUCUUUCAUCUUUGAAAGAGACGACAGCAAUAAUAGCAAGGACACGGUUUCAAUGAUAGAUGAUUCUUCAGACUCGGUAAGUUCCAAUCCAUCGCCUUAGUUGAUAGAGAAACGCUUUACUUUCAGCUUAAUUCUUCCUUGCUAAUUUUGGGAUCCCUUUUUGGCAGAUUCACAAAGAGCAGAAAGCAAGGAAAGUCACGACCACUAAGUUAAUGAGCUCACAAAUAAGAUCAUCGUCCAGCAGCAGCAAUAGUAGUAGUAGUAGUAGUCAAAAUACUCAAACAAACCCUGGUCCAUCAUUGCAUGACAUUCUAAGGGGGUCGAGACGGAGCACUCUGGCGGAUGGUACAGCUUUCCAAAUUGAACCCAACAACAUCUUUACGGCUUUCAAGUUGGAUCAGAGUUUGGUGAAGAGGUCAGUUGCUGCUGCUGCGGUAUCUGUAAGAAUGGUAUAAAGUAGCCUGUCUAGCUUGGUUGGCAAAAUAUGAAACGGAGUUAGGAUGAAGGGGUUAACUAGUGAAGUGGUUUACAGUUUGAUGAGAGGAUGGACUUAUAGUUUCUCACAAUCUUUGCUUGUAUGUUCUCGCAAAGCAUGUGUGUAGUUGGCUAGUUGCUGAUGCUCUAUGUUCAGCUUCCAAGAUGUUUGAUAUGGUAAAUUACUGUACUUCUUGUUGUCGAACAUCUUUGUAUUUGUUGUCUGAAGCAGUCACCAUAUAUACUCGGUAGUGUAAUAUCAAUUUGGCAAUGGCUUGUUGGCUGUUGCCCGCCCAUUCCUCAUACCCGAUCGGAUUUAUUGCAAGAUCGUGGUUCAACAUCACCCUCUGUUCCAUGUUUGAAAUACUUGCCUUGUAAAACUUGCAUCCACAAUUUCGACGAAUUUUGCAAGCAAGCUUUAUUAGGUGGGUAAGGUUAGGAUCCUUGUGUCACAAUCGGAUGGAGCUUCUCUGGUGACCGGCUAAAUGCCGAAUUGUUGAUAUUUUGAUUCAUAUCUGGCAAAAUGCCUCAGACUGAGCUAAUAUACUCCUACUGUAGCUAAACGAUAAAAACAGACUGGCAAACAAAUCACAGACUGCUCCCCGCUUUUGCCUACUACAUUUAACUACUUGAAUUCUUCGAUAAUAACAAAAAGGUCACUAUUGUGACAAUCCCCCUUUCUUAGCAGUCUUGUCUCAAGACUGAAAAUUUGGAACUGAGCACUGAAAUUGAUCCAAUCUUCCCACGUAGCAUCUGCUUCAGCUUGAUGUGUCCACUGUACCAGCAUUUGAGUGACAGCCUUGUUGUCCUGCUUGAUAAACAUGCGUGCCAAGAUGGCUGCUGGUUCUACAUUCAUGGAGCCUGUAUCAUCCACCUGUGGUAAUGUUGGUUGUGCAUUGGUGCCAUGUCCAAUUGCCUUCUUCAACUGAGACACGUGGAACAUAGGAUGUAUCGAGGUUGUGGCUGGGAGGUCUAGGUGAUAUGCAGCCAUUCCAAUCUUCCUCACUAUCUGGAAGGAUCCAUAGUAUCGAGGUGAGAGCUUAGCACACUGUCUAGGAACUAGACUAACCUGUCUGUAAGGUUGUAACUUUAGGAACACCCAAUCUCCAGCUGCAAAUGUUCUCUCAAUCUUGUUCCUGUCAGCUUGAUGCUUGUGUCAACUCUGAGCUUUGGCCAAGUUCAGUUUGAGCAGAUCAACCAUCUGGUGUUGUGCCUGCAGCUUGCUUUCCACUGCUCCAACAGUAGUUAAGAUUUCCACUGUUCCAACAGUAGUUAAGAGAGGGUUUUGGAUUCCAAAAUAGGGAGGUGGAUAUCCAUAGAGUGCCUCGAAUGGAGUGAGUUGCAGGCUGGUAUGGUGGUUGAUGUACAAAGCUAGGUACUGAUGCCACUGCUUAGGUUUGUUGACGAUCAUGCAUGUGAUGUGAUGUAUUUUCGACACACCUUUUCUCGUUAUAAACUAUAUUUUUGUAUGUCGAAAUGUAUUCAAAUUUGGGUUUUGAGUACAUGUUGGUUCUCUUGCCCCUCGGGGCCGUAUUAUGGUGUUUGGUAUGUUUUUGGUAUAAUGUCAUAUGACGUUUAGAGAUAAAUCAAGACAUGACGGGGAGGCCGGAACAACUCAAAGCGUUCCGACUUUGGAAGAAAGCGUCACUGUUUAGUAUUUUGAGCAUAACUCAUUGAUCCGAAGUCCAAUUGAUGCAAGGUCAGCGGCGUUGGAAAGAUAAUUCGAUUGUCUACAAUUUUUAUGUUGACACUAAUUGUCUACAACUUUGAAUGAAGGAACACGGCGUGUUCCUCCGCUGAAAUUUCCCGAAAAAGUUACAGGGGCCGAACACGACCGUGUUCAUGGAACACGGCGUGUUCCAUAUGGAGCACGCCGUGUCCCACCCCCAGACGGGUUUUCAAGUCAUUUUCCUUCUCCAACUUGGUCCAGAAGCCUAUGCAUACCCCUGAGACCCCAUGGACGAGAUACUUCAUUAUACACAUAUUUUUCGAGCUCUUAGAGAGAGCUAGGGUUCCUCAUCAUUCAUUCUACACAUAUUUCAAGCUCUUAGAAAGCGAGAGAAUCCUAGAGAUUGAUUGAAGCGAUAGAUUAUCACUCUUGGAAAGAGCUAGAGUUCCAGAGAGACGAUUGAAACGAGAGGAUAAACCACGACUGACGAAUGGAAAAUCAUCAAGUCGAAGAUUGGGAUUUCCACGAAGAACAUGUCGUCUUCUCCGAUUUUUCUUCUCUUCUCUUGUGAUUUAUUUUCCGGAACCAUGAGUAGCUAAACUUUCUGUGUUGUUCGGAUGAGAUGAAGCUUUAGCUAAGCUUUGUAUGGAUGAUUUGAUUUGUUAUUGAGGUUUAUUCAGACUUAUGAUGCGUUCUUCCUAAAACCUAAUUUUAGAUUCAUUCUUGUCUGAUCAUCUUGAUUGAGUCAUCGACAUUGAUUUGUGGGUCCGAGAGGAACAUAGGUUGAUAGGUCGCUUAGGAAGAACCCUAGAUUAUUCGUUAGCUCGAGAGAGGAGCGAAUCGUUUAGGCUUUUUGCACGUUUAUCGUUGUGGCAUUUCAUCGAACAUAAGUAAUGCAUUUUGUUUAGGUGUAGAUUAGCACGAGAGAGGAAUCUACGGUUAGACGAAAUAGAUCCUUAGAGGCGCGAGAGUGAUCUAAGACUACAUUAGGAAAUUGCCGAGUUGUUAUAACCUGAAUAACCGAGAUCAUUUAUCAUUCAUUCAUACAUUGCUAGCUUUAGUGGAUUUGAAUCCGAGCAACCUUCAUCUUAUCUUUGAAACUCGAUUCCUUGCAUUUUGAUUUGUUUUAUUUCAGUCAUUAGUUCAUAAUUGGAUACAAAAAUAAUAAAACAAACAAUCAUUACACUGUCACUUGGUCUAGUUAGCAAAUCAACUUGAGUAAUAAGAAUAGAAAGACCCUAGGGUGUGGUUUAUCGGGUUGUUUCUUUUGAGUUCCAUUAUGCAGGAUUAUAAUUGGGAAGGACAGUGGCAAGGUUCCUAUGCAGAAGAUAACUACAACGAAGAUUGGGGUUCUUCACCCAACCAAUAUUAGAUUCACCAAGCUACUACCAGCCGAACUAUGGAGGAGGACAACAACAAUGGAUUAACUUUGGAGAGGAAUCAGAUUCCUAUUGGAAUCCAGACCAAUCACCACCAUCUUUUUUCCAAGACUCGUCACCAACUUUCUACCACCAAAACUACCAUGAAGAUGGUAAAGACUUUGAAAAUCAAUAUUCAGGGCUUGAAUCAUAUCAACCUCCGCAUUCAUAGCCAGUCAGCACGAGAAUAUGAUACAACUAAACAAACUCUAAAAAAUGGUAGAUCAGCUUAAAGAACAAGAUUCUCAUCCUCAAUCACAAGAAGAGGUUGAGAAUGAAGAUGAAUAUGAUAUGGAAAUAUCAGCUGAAGUAGUGGUGGAAGAGUUAUCUUUCUUUAAAGAUAAUCUAGCUGUCCAGGAUGGCAAGUUCGAAGAGUUUGAAAGGAAAGAAGUACCCUUCCUAGAAGACAACCUAAUUUUCCAUGAUGAGGAGUUAGAAAAAUUUGAAAAAGAAGAUGAUGAAGAGUUUGUGGAAGAGGUGUGGGAAGAUGAAGAGCCUCUCCAUUAUGAGAUUCAAUCUACCAUUGAGAAUUUCAUCAUUUGGCAUCCCUCUCCUAUUGUGGUCCCACCAAGAGAAACCGAGACUCUUCUUGAUUCUUGUUUGAUUAUGAAGUACUUAUGUCAGGAAACUGUUAAUGAGUGCUUCACACACAAGAUUCGAGAGGACACUAUCUUGGGAUCAAACCUGCCUUCCCUGGAGGACUUCUCAAGCUACACUAUCAAAUCAGGGAUAGUUGAGGAUAUCAGUGUUGACACACCGUACUACCUCUCCCCUCCUAAAGCAGUGGAGACCAAGAAGAGAUUUCCACUUAAAGGCACAAACUGGAGCUCACAACCCCUUCACCGACUUCUCCAUAAAUUUCUUAGGGUGCUACUUGGCAUUCAACUCCAAUCCUUGAAGAAACUAAUGGACUUCAAGGAGGUUUUAAGUUGGGCGGCCUAACCCAGGUAUCGUCUAGCUCAAAGACGCAAAAGAAAGAGCGCUUCUCGGGAGGCAACCCGAGCGUUGAGUCUUUCUCUUUUAUUUGUUUUUGCUUAUGUCAUUUGGUUGAAAUAUUGUGAGUCUGUUUUAUUUUUAUUUAUUUCUUGUGGUUUGAUGUAACAGAUUGGCACUAGCCUAUCCUCUCUUGUUUCUUUUGUUUCUCUGUGGCUAUAGAACUCAAAUCCUAUUCAAAUGAUGUCUCAAUCUUAUGCACCGACUGACAGGAGUUUCGAUCCUCGUCCAGACUCUACAUAUGCUCAAUAUCGCGAUCUCCAAGUUAGUACCAUAUUUUCUAGACCUAUCUCACUUGAUUAUGUGGUCCAUUGAGGACAAUGUCCUGUUUAAGUGUGGGGUGAAUUAGGGUGCUUCUUAAUUGAUGGGUACAUAACUUGUGAGUUAUCUUGGUGAAUUGCUUUCCUGAAUUUUCGAAAUUCCCUCUUGAGCUUAGUUUGUGGAUGUUAGUAAACGCAUGUUUAGUGUUCUCAUUCUAUUUGUGGAUGUCUUGGAUGUGAGGAUAUCAUUUUUGAACCACUUGCCGUAUUGCCAAAAUUAGUAUACUAUAGAGACUCAUAUAUAUGUUAAAAAAUGAAUUGUUACCUUCCACUGUUUUGUUCUAUGUUGUAGUAGGGUGCAUAUGUAUCUACCCAACAAAUUUGCCUAGGUUGUUAUGAAGCUUAAAACAGGCGGGAGGAGUCCGAAUGAGGUUGCUAAGUAAAAAAAAUUGUCGUGGGGGUUUGGUUGCAAUCGAAACACGUAGGGCGACCCUAGUGGUUUGCCGUCUUCCCUACCUUUAUGAGGCUUGGGGCGUGGGCCGGAGACUGGUUACUUCUGAGUCCGGCUGAAGUUGUGAUUGUUACUUCCGAGUCCGGCUGAAGUUGUGAUUAAUUCCCCCAUUCGGAAAAAGCCGCUAUCUAAAAGAGCAAUAAAGAAAGAAAAGCAAAGAAAGAAACGAAAAGCAACAUUGAAAUAUUUAAACUUUGUUUUCAGUAAACUAUAGAGUUAGCUAGUCAAGUAAGCAACUCAAAAUAAGAGGGAGAUGAUAGCAUAACUAGAGUGCUAUUAAAAAUUGAAGCACCUCCUCGCUCAGGACGGAAGAGAAAUCCCGGCCAGGACGAGCUGUCGGUCUGUUACUUCCACUAGCAACUAGAAGGUAUAAGUGUUUGGGGGAUAUGGAUACAUUCUAGUGGAUAGGGGUCAAAUCAUUUAUAUCAUAUGCAUGAGUCUAUCUUAUACUAAUUCAAGGGAUUCGGUGUCUCAUGCCUAAUUGUGUGGUUUGUUGAUUGACUUGCGUUCCUGAACACUAUGAUAGAAUUAAGUACCUGAGCUUCGUCUUCUGAUCAUCAUAUGUUGAGUUAUUUAUAGACAGCGAUUAGUAGAUUUUCUUGAGGAAAAGCAAGCGCUUAAGUGUGGGGUGAUUUGAUGUGAUGUAUUUUCGACACACCUUUUCUCGUUAUAAACUAUAUUUUUGUGUGUCGAAAUGUAUUCAAAUUUGGAUUUUGAGUACAUGUUUGGUUCUCUUGCCCCUCGAGGCUGUAUUAUGGUGUUUGAUAUGUUUUUGGUAUAUUUCAGAUAUCAUAUGACGUUUAGAGAUAAACCAACACAUGACAGGGACGCCUGAACAACUCAAAGCGUUCGACUUGGGAAGAAAGCGUCACUGUUUAGUAUUUUGAGCAUAACUCAUCACUUUGAAGUCCAAUUGAUGCAAGGUCAGCAGUGUUGGAAAGAUAAUUCGAUUGUCUACAACUUUGAUGUUGACACUAUGGUCAAAUUCCGUAUAAUGAAGGAACACGGCCGUGUUCCUGGCCGUGUUCGGCCCCUGUAACUUUCUCGGGCAAUUUCAGCGGAGGAACACGCCGUGUUCCAUUUGGAACACACCGCUUUCCUUCAUUAUACGGAAUUUGACCAUAGUGUCAACAUCAAAGUUGUAAACAAUUGUCCCGACUUGGUCCAGAAGUCUAUAAAUACCCCCGAUACCCCGUGGACGAGAUAUACUUCAUUAUACACAUAUUUUCUGUGUUGUUCGGAUGAGAUGAAGCUUUAGCUAAGCUUUUGUAUGGAUGAUUUGAUUUGUUAUUGAGGUUUAUUCAGACUUAUGAUGCGUUCUUCCUAAAACCUAAUUUUAGAUUCAUUCUUGUCUGAUCAUCUUGAUUGAGUCAUCGACAUUGAUUUGUGGGUCCGAGAGGAACAUAGAUUGAUAGGUCGCUUAGGAAGAACCCUAGAUUAUUCGUUAGCUCGAGAGAGGAGCGAAUCUUUUAGGCUCUUUGCACGUUUAUCGUUGUGGCUUUUGGUCGAGAGAGGAAUCUACCAUUAGACGAAAUAGAUCAUUAGAGGCACGAGAGUGAUCUAAGACUACAUUAGGAAAUUGCCGAGCCGUUAUAACCUGAAUAACCGAGAUAAUUUAUCAUUAAUUUAUACAUUGCUAUAUACAUUGCUAGCUUUAGUGGAUUCGAAUCCGAGCAACCUUCAUUCCUAUUUGAAACUCAAUCUCUCGAAUUCGUUUAACUUUAAAUUGCACACUUAGUUGUUAAUUAGUUACUUAAAACAAACUGAAAACAAUUUCGACCUGUUACUUGGUUUAGUUAGUACAUCAACUUGAGUAAUAAAAAUAGGAAAACCCUAGGGAGAUUUACGAUCCCACUAGAGCAAUCUAGUGGGUAGUUGAAAGCGAGGUAAAAUCCGUUCAUCAGCAUGUGAGGUAGUCCUCAAUGCAUCUUUUAAGUGGUUCUGUUUGGCCAUCGAUUUAUGGAUGGUAUGUUGUGGAGUACAACAGUUUGGUGCGUUGGAGCUUGAAUAAUUCCUUCCAGAAAAUUGCUUGUGAAGAUAGCAUCUUUGUCUGAAACUAUUGUUUUUGGCAUCCUAUGUAGUCUAAACACCCCUUCCAUGAAGGCUUUGUUACUAAUUAGGAGUAGAAUUAGGAAAGAGAGAAGAGAGGUAGGGAAGAGAGAAUUAAUAGAGAAAAAGUUGUUAGGGAAUAUUCCUUAUUGAUUUUCCAAAUAGACAGUUGUCUUAUGUAAAUUCAAUUGUACAGUUAUAGAAAUCAUCUCAUUUGGUCCUUCAAUUACUGAAAAUAGCAAAACAAAACAUUGAAAAGUUGUAAACAGAUCACUAUGUGAUAGAGCCAAUAGUCUCCAAAAAUAAUGAAAACAAGUGAAUGUGAUGGAACUCUAAAACUAUAAACGAACCGUCUAAUUCUUCUAUCAAUUUCCUAGCAAGUACAAGCUGGCGAGAGAGAGAAAGAGGGCAGGAGUUACCCAACCUAUAAAAGAGAGAUUUCAUAUUUUCUAUUUAGAAAGUCACUUAUCAGUCUAGUCCAAUAUGUCUUUGAUACAUAGUCCUUGUAACAUGACCAUCCGAUAGCGAGAUACCAAAAUAACAACCCGAGCCGAGUGGUAUGUAAACCAAAUGCAAAACACAAUGAUUGAGAAGAUAAAUAAUAUGGUAUCCUAAAUUUAAUAGAUUUAGUAUGGGAGAUGAUUAUAUUCAACUACUGAAAAGUUCAACCAGAUUCAACAAAGAAAAUCGGAGGGGUAGUCUUGGUACUUCAUAAACAUAUAUUUUCUAAUUUAUUUUUAAUCCUAAUUGCUUUUGCAGGUCAUCUUCUCCAUUCCAUCUACGACGACGGCCGUGGGAUGCGGCAGGGCUGAUGAUGGCAAUAGUCGAGCUUCUUCAAACAUCGGUAUUGGUGAUCAGAGGACCCAGGGGUGGGAAUCGGGAGGAAGGAAACCCCAAGAAAUUGAUGGAGGAGGAUUCAAUCUGGAGAAAGACGAGAUUGAUAGAGAUGGACGAGAUCUAGAGGCUGAGAAACUUACCAGAAAUCGACGGUUGGCGGCAUCGUGGCUGCGACGGUGAAGGAUUGACGGAGGAGGAGACGAAUCGGCGUCGGCAAUGUGCCCGAUGCUUUGGAGAAGAUGAAUUGAAAAAUAUCAAUUUCAGUCCCUCAAUAUUUCACUAUUUCAGACCACAAAGUUUCGUAAAUUGCUAACGCAAUCUGUUCAACUACUGUAACCCUCGGCUCAUUGGAUUUGUUUUACUACAAUACUGGCCCAAAACAGUUGCAAACCUCUAUUAGUCGCG
rnacentral:lncRNA from 1 species